rnacentral:lncRNA from 1 species
CAAAAUCAAAGGCUUUUCGUUUUCAAUUUUCAUACAUAGAAUUUUUGUAAUCUUUGAAUAUAUGUGUGUUUGCCUGAGCCUUGUUAUACAUACAUCAUACAUGUUUGUGUUUACUUGUUAUGCGUGUGUAAUUUACUUUCUUGAUUUCCUGUAGCCUUAUUCAAUUUGUUGUUUUUCUCACUAGGAUGUAUGUGGAUGUAUGUAUAUGUUAAAAAAUGACUAUUGUUGGCCAGAUGUCUUGUUAGUAUUUCACGGGAAAGAUCAAGCACGGAAAUUGCAUCCGUAAUGCUAUUGACGUCAAAUAUAUCGCUCACAAACUAAAGAUUUAAUCUUUCGGUAUUUAUAGUAUAUGUUGUUUGACUUGGAAUUAAGACAACGGGUUGUUCAAUGUUAGUUAGGCCUGUAAAAGUUGAACAUAAUUUGUCGCUAUACUCGCGAUACUGUUAUGCACCAUGUCUUAACACUUGAAUUUUUUGUAUGUUGUAUAGAACGCUGUAUAUAUGGUAUACCCUUUAUGAUUGCAAAUCUUUAAAUGUAAGGACUUGAUAAAUGUAGUUGCAAUUUAUAUAUAAAUGUAGUUGCAAUUUAUAUAUAGCAGAGUUUAGUGAAUUUUGUGUGUGUGUGUGUGUGUGUNNNNNNNNNNNNNNNNNNNNNNNNNNNNNNNNNNNNNNNNNNNNNNNNNNNNNNNNNNNNNNNNNNNNNNNNNNNNNNNNNNNNNNNNNNNNNNNNNNNNNNNNNNNNNNNNNNNNNNNNNNNNNNNNNNNNNNNNNNNNNNNNNNNNNNNNNNNNNNNNNNNNNNNNNNNNNNNNNNNNNNNNNNNNNNNNNNNNNNNNNNNNNNNNNNNNNNNNNNNNNNNNNNNNNNNNNNNNNNNNNNNNNNNNNNNNNNNNNNNNNNNNNNNNNNNNNNNNNNNNNNNNNNNNNNNNNNNNNNNNNNNNNNNGUUGGGGGGUGGGUGGGGGGGGGGGGGUGGUUGCUGCUUUUAGUCUAUUUUCAGGUAAGACUUGCACAGUUUUGGUUCUAGUUGAUUAUGUUUUCCUUAUUUAAAUUUCCACACUCAGUGAAUUGGCAUCAGAUGAAAGAGCAGUUUCAACCAAAUUUGUGCUUAUUUAUCCUGCAAACGACUCUUGAUAUAAUAUGUUCGCCCAAAAAAAACUGAAAAAGUUGUGAAUAUUGGGAGCUUUUUGUCAUUUUUUCAGUACCUUCCGCGCUCCUCUACUUAAUCCCUGAGAAUAUUACUCUUAAAUAAAUCACUCAAGGGUAGGAAUUAUCUAUGCUUCUCUUCAGUGAGUCCAUAUAUUUUCUAUCCCUUAUUAUAUGUUUGCGAGGAUUAAAAUGUUCGAGCUUUAAAAAUUUGAUAUUCAUCAAAAUUGUUCUUGAUUCAUAUCAUUAUUAUUAUUUCUUAAGUUACCUGUUUGUCACUAAUCCUAUCCAGUUUGGAUUAUAUGAGAUGAUGGAAAUGUAUGGAAGCACUCCAGGAUGCAAUCCUGGACCAAUUGAUGAUUCUGUAUUGCAUGAUCAGGAUAAGCACGUCUCUUCAGCAGUGUGGGAGGGGCAGGUACUUUACUUUAAAACAAGUUCCUUCCUUCUCACAUUGUAAUAUAUUGUUAUAUCACUGUGAUAUUGCUCAUUUCCUGGAUGGUUUCUGGAGUAUAUAUUAACGCUAAACAGUUGACUGACAUGAUGACAGGAGCGUGGUGCACUAAGAUGUCACGAACACACUUCAAAGCUUGAUCAGUGGAGACUCACUCCUAAACAGAUUGAGUUAAUCACUAAUGCUGGAUUUGGCUACUUGAGAUUGAUACCAGCAAUCAGUUUGGACAACCCUCUCAUAUCUGCUUUAGUUGAGAGAUGGAGGAGGGAAACAAACACUUUCCAUUUUACUGUUGGAGAAAUGACUGUGACUCUAGAAGAUGUUGGUUUCUUACUUGGGUUACCGAUUGAUGGAGACCCAGUUAUAGGGGUAACUUAUACAAGCUGUGAAGCAGUAUGUAUGAAGUAUUUAGGCAGAGCACCAGACUCUGGUUCCACAAGUGGCGGGAUGGUGAAGCUCAGUUGGUUAAAAGAGACCUUCUUCUGGUGUCCGGAGGAUGCAAAAUUUGAAGAUAUUGAGCGACAUACACGCGCCUAUCUUCUUUACCUUGUUGGUAGUACAAUUUUUUCUACCACAACUGGUAAUAAAGUACCUGUUAUGUACCUUCCAUUAUUUGAAAAUUUUAUAUUAGCUGGGAAGUAUGCAUGGGGUGCAGCAGCAUUGUCAUUCUUGUAUAGAGCCCUGGGUAAUGCAUCUUUAAAGUCUCAGAGCACCAUUAGUGGCUGUUUAACAAUGCUACAGGUCAUCUUUGCUGCUAUAUCAAUUUCCUAUCUUCUGUUGGAAAAUCCAUUUUAAUUUAGAAGAAAUGUGGUAUGUUUUAAGAAAUCUACAAAAAGGAUGUGAACCCUGUUUAUUUUAUUUAUUUCUGUAGUGCUGGAGCUACUACCGUCUGAGUGUUGGCCGCCCAAAGCUUAAGCAAGAACCAAAGCAUGAUUGCUUUCCGUUUGUACUUAGAUGGAAAGGAAAACAAUGUGGUGCAACCAACCGUGAUGUGGCCUUCUACCGUAAGGCUUUAGAUUCUUUGAAGCCAUCUGAUGUAAGUUGUAUUCUUUAAAGUGCUAUGAUGCGUAAACAUCCUUUCGGAACAGAAAUAAUUGAACUAUAUUAGUUCAUAAUAUACAGGUUGAGUGGUGCCCUUACUCGAAUAUAAGUCUUGUGGCUAUACCGUAUGACAUAAGAAACAAUCUGAUUCUUGGGAGAUCAAAUACAAUGUUAAUUUGCUUUGACAAGGCAGAAAGGCACCUUCCGGAUCGCUGCUUAAGGCAAUUUGGCAUGCAACAACCAAUACCACAAGAUGUGCAGAGGUGGGAGAGGAAGAGCCGUGGAGUGGAUGGGGGUGUGGACUUGGCAGGAAAAAUGGAAUCAGAACUGACAGAAUGGGUGGAUCGUCAUCUUCGAGUUGUGGACAUUGAUGAAGAUGUGGAUGAGAGUGAGUAUAUGCCUUGGUAUCUAAAUAUCACUCGGAAAUUAGUUGGGAGGCCUGUGCCAAUAACAUCUGAAUUUCAAAGAAUGGUAUGCCCUAUUUUCAUUUAGUUAAUUACAGUAAAGCCUGCUAUAUAUAUUUAUUUCAUACUGGUGUAAUAUGUACUGUGUUUUAGCUGAUUAUCCAAAAAGAAACCUACAAUGUGUUCACUUUUUAAUUAUCAUCCUGAACAACUGCUUCUGCAGAAUGUUGCACUGAGGGACAUUGCACAUGUGGUGGAUAUGCUUUCAACACAGGGGAUGGAUGAUCAUCAAAUAAAUGCAGUGGCAAGGAUAAGGUAUCUUGCUCACGAGUGUUUGAGGGACCAUGGAGGAAGUCUGAUUGUAGAAGUUGCUAACCCGCAAGAUGAUAUUGUAAAAAGGAUCAGAGGAAAGGAGAGGGUAAGAAGGAAAAGUGCAGGAAAACGGAAGCGGAAAGAGCACCUAGGACUCUCCCAUGUAGAAACUGAGGGUGUCCGGUCAGGCUUGUGUGUAGUGCAGAUGGAAGCGGAUCAAUCGCCAUUAUACCAUUUAAACAGUGAGUUGGAUCAUUCACAGCUAUGUCUCCCUGCCAGCGAGGGUGAGGAUGCUGAACUGUGUUAUUUGCCUAAUAAGGUUGUAGAAACACAAGGUUGUCUUGAGAAUCAAGUUGAUGACUCACACUUCAAGCAUGCAGUGGAGGCAGUUGAUGAGACUCAGUAUGCUCAUAUGAUCAGUGUCAAUACUUCAGUGCCGUCGAAUGCCGACCUCGCUGUUGUCUCACAGUCCUCCCUAGAAUCUAGCAAGGACGUUGAGCAUCAAAAUGACUAUAGUGUUCUUGUAUAGAGAACCAAAGACGUCGUUCUUCAAUUUGUUCAUUUCAUUUGUUGCUUAAGUAUAGCAGGUAAGUCCGCCUUAGAUAUACUAUUAGAUCUGCAUAUGCAAACAGCCAUGACUUGCAACGCUCUGAUGUGAUUGUUACCGACAUUGCCAGAAAACCUUGAAAAUUUGGAACUACCUUACUGGCCUGUAAUCUAUCCUUGAUAAAAUCAUAUCAUUAGCUUUCUUAGUUUUCAAUAUUGUGUCUGCUCCUGUGAACAAGGAGGUUUUGUUGUAUAUACACUUACUAUGACCAAAAUAGUUGUUGCUUUUGUGUUGACUGCAAAGUUAUGAUUAUGGCUCUGCAAUACAUGCAGUUAAUAGGACAAAGAUGCUGCUUUUAGUUUUUAUUCAUCCUGACCUUGUUUAUUCUUCUACUUUUGCUAGCUCCACCUUUUCUAGGUUAGUAAUUUAAGGAAGUACCCUAAACAUGGCUCAAAGCCUCAAAGGCACAAUCUGCUGGACAAUGUUAUAACAGUUUAGUUUCUAUUUGAUCACUAACCCAUUUAUAUUAAAAAGGUGUAUAAAUGUUUAUGUGUUUUAACCUAUUUAUAUAACAGGUAUAAGUGUAGCUCAACAGAAGAAAAGGUGUAUAAAUGUUUAUGUGUUUUGGUAUAAUUGGGAUGAUUUGUUUUUUGGUGUUUGUUCAGCUCAGUUGUGUAUGAUUCAACAUGUGCUCGAUUUUUUAUUCGUUUCCAUUUUUAAAUGAUUCAAUUAUAACCGGUCUUCAACAGAAGAAAAGGUGUAUAAAUGUUUAUGUAUUUUGAUACAAUUGGAAUGAUUUGUUUUUUGAUGUUUGUUCAGCUCAGUUGUGAAUGAUUCAAUUAUUACCGGUUUUUUAUUCGGCUCGAUUUAAAUUAAUUCACGGUUUUGAUCCAAUUUUGGUCGAUUCAAUCCUGUCAAAUUUGUUGCUCAGCACAUAAUGUAAUGUGUGGAUUCAGUCUAUUAAUUGGCUUACUGGCUUAUGCCCAGCUUAAACCAAAUCUAGGGUCAGUUACUCAGUUUUGGCACAUUUUAAUGCAUUCUAAUUUCAUCAGCCUCUCGCACUUGAAGGUAGAUUAAAAUAGUACCAAUCAACAGGACAAGUUAUACGGUAACUGAAUAAUGAAUGAAAUAUCACGUUUCUAAUUUCAAUAGCUGCAUAUCUCUUUCCUCUCCUCGCAUGUUGCACUUUUCAUUGCCAUUCACAAGUAAAAACAUAAACAUGCCAUGUUUCCCAACCACUUUUUCCUCCCGUUUCUGUGAAAAAAGGGUUUCAUAUUUUAUGAACGGUUUUUCUAUGGUGUGCCCAUGGGCACACACUAAGUGCUAAAAUCUAUGAAUUUGGAAGCUUUUGAUUGGCUUACACUCUCUAAUAAUGGUGGACCCCCCCUGCAUUUACAACAACCACACCAAUCAAAACCCUCCAAAUGCAUAGAUUUUAAUGCUUAGCAUGUGCCCAUGGGCACACACUAGACAAACCCUUUUAUGAAUUAUGGUACUUUCUGGCUUCAUGUUGUUGCUCAAUUUCAUGACUUUACCCAUCAUGCAACUUAAAAUAUCACUAUUUAUUUUUCUCUCUUAUACAAAUACACAUACUUUUUUUUGGUAAAAAACAUAGUUCAAAGUUGUAAAGCAAUUCCUAGUGUUUCUUACAACUUAUGAGAGACCACAUUGCUCACAGAAUGCACUGUUCAUUUUCUCUCACUCUUUCACUCCUGCUCUUGCUUUCACUUCUUACCAUAUCUUCCACCACUCAACAACAUGGUAAGAAGAAUUUGCAGCCAAACAGCAUGGAACCAUCUGAGCUAGAGACCCUGUUCAAGAUCAUGGACAGCAUGUCCUCUGAUCAAACAUGGAGAGUCUCCUAUCCAAACCCUUGUAAGCCUGGCUCUUCAUGGAUGGGGAUAGAAUGCAAAGCUGGAAACGACAGUCACCUUCAUGUCACUAGACUUGACUUUGGCUCACCACCAAGCCCAUCAUGCAAGAUGAAUUCAAUUUUUCCUUCACUAAUAUUUCAUCUUCCUUAUCUUCAGUCUGCUAUCUUCUCCCAGUGCUUCACUCAUACAAAAACCACACUCACCAUCUCACUAGACAAAUUCUUCAGCUCCAAACUACAGCAGCUCAGCCUGCGCUCUAAUCCGGCCUUGAUCGGCUCAAUCCCGCCUCAGAUAUCUACCUUAAAGUCUCUUCAAACCCUUACAUUGUCACAAAAUCGCCUCACAGGUCCAAUUCCUAAAGAAAUUUGCGGCUUGACUUCUCUCCAACACCUUGAUUUGAGCUAUAACUUUCUGUCUGGGACAAUUCCAAACCAGUUGGGCAGUCUUAAAAACCUUGUAGUUCUUGAUCUGAGCUACAAUUCACUUACUAAACUGAUCCCAGGUACAAUUGGCCAAAUGGGUAUGCUCCAGAAACUAGACUUGAGCUCAAACUUGCUCACAGGAAGCCUCCCAAACAGCAUUCAAAAGCUCAAUUCACUAGUUUUUAUGGCUCUGAGCAACAACAGAUUGAAGGGGAAAAUCCCAAAAGGCUUAGCAAAGUUGCAAAGCUUGCAGUACUUCAUAAUGGAUGACAAUCCAAUGUUCAUACCACUUCCGGCAGAGUUCGGUGCCUUGCAUAGACUACAAGAGCUCAGGCUUGCCAAUUCUGGCUAUUCAGGCACAAUACCACCCAUCUUUUCACAGCUACAAAAUUUAAGCACUCUGUCACUGCAAAACAACCGCUUAGUGGGCUCAAUCCCAGUUGGUUUUGGCAAUCUUUCACAUAUAUAUCACUUGAAUUUGAGCAGAAACUUAUUAGGUGGUGAGGUUCCUUUUACAUCAACUUUCUUUCAAAGGCUUGGUAAGAAUUUGGAUCUCAGUGGCAAUCAAGGGCUGUCGAACGGUUUUUCUAUGGUGUGCCCAUGGGCACACACUAAGUGCUAAAAUCUAUGAAUUUGGAAGCUUUUGAUUGGCUUACACUCUCUAAUAAUGGUGGACCCCCCCUGCAUUUACAACAACCACACCAAUCAAAACCCUCCAAAUGCAUAGAUUUUAAUGCUUAGCAUGUGCCCAUGGGCACACACUAGACAAACCCUUUUAUGAAUUAUGGUACUUUCUGGCUUCAUGUUGUUGCUCAAUUUCAUGACUUUACCCAUCAUGCAACUUAAAAUAUCACUAUUUAUUUUUCUCUCUUAUACAAAUACACAUACUUUUUUUUGGUAAAAAACAUAGUUCAAAGUUGUAAAGCAAUUCCUAGUGUUUCUUACAACUUAUGAGAGACCACAUUGCUCACAGAAUGCACUGUUCAUUUUCUCUCACUCUUUCACUCCUGCUCUUGCUUUCACUUCUUACCAUAUCUUCCACCACUCAACAACAUGGUAAGAAGAAUUUGCAGCCAAACAGCAUGGAACCAUCUGAGCUAGAGACCCUGUUCAAGAUCAUGGACAGCAUGUCCUCUGAUCAAACAUGGAGAGUCUCCUAUCCAAACCCUUGUAAGCCUGGCUCUUCAUGGAUGGGGAUAGAAUGCAAAGCUGGAAACGACAGUCACCUUCAUGUCACUAGACUUGACUUUGGCUCACCACCAAGCCCAUCAUGCAAGAUGAAUUCAAUUUUUCCUUCACUAAUAUUUCAUCUUCCUUAUCUUCAGUCUGCUAUCUUCUCCCAGUGCUUCACUCAUACAAAAACCACACUCACCAUCUCACUAGACAAAUUCUUCAGCUCCAAACUACAGCAGCUCAGCCUGCGCUCUAAUCCGGCCUUGAUCGGCUCAAUCCCGCCUCAGAUAUCUACCUUAAAGUCUCUUCAAACCCUUACAUUGUCACAAAAUCGCCUCACAGGUCCAAUUCCUAAAGAAAUUUGCGGCUUGACUUCUCUCCAACACCUUGAUUUGAGCUAUAACUUUCUGUCUGGGACAAUUCCAAACCAGUUGGGCAGUCUUAAAAACCUUGUAGUUCUUGAUCUGAGCUACAAUUCACUUACUAAACUGAUCCCAGGUACAAUUGGCCAAAUGGGUAUGCUCCAGAAACUAGACUUGAGCUCAAACUUGCUCACAGGAAGCCUCCCAAACAGCAUUCAAAAGCUCAAUUCACUAGUUUUUAUGGCUCUGAGCAACAACAGAUUGAAGGGGAAAAUCCCAAAAGGCUUAGCAAAGUUGCAAAGCUUGCAGUACUUCAUAAUGGAUGACAAUCCAAUGUUCAUACCACUUCCGGCAGAGUUCGGUGCCUUGCAUAGACUACAAGAGCUCAGGCUUGCCAAUUCUGGCUAUUCAGGCACAAUACCACCCAUCUUUUCACAGCUACAAAAUUUAAGCACUCUGUCACUGCAAAACAACCGCUUAGUGGGCUCAAUCCCAGUUGGUUUUGGCAAUCUUUCACAUAUAUAUCACUUGAAUUUGAGCAGAAACUUAUUAGGUGGUGAGGUUCCUUUUACAUCAACUUUCUUUCAAAGGCUUGGUAAGAAUUUGGAUCUCAGUGGCAAUCAAGGGCUGUGUCUGAGUCCAUCUGAAGCAUAUGGUGUCAAGAAAAUUGGGGUCAAUAUAUGUGGAAUCAACAAAACCACUUCUUUGAGCAAGCCAUUGAAGCACUCUGAAGCUCCCUCACUUGGCAUCACCAAAUUAUUCUUUCUUGUCAAUGUUUUCUUUAUUUUGUUUUUGCAGCAGAUAUUAUUUUAAAUCAUGCAAUUCCACUUGUUGACUAUCUCUUUAAAUUAGCACUCUGAAGCUCCCUCAGUGGUCAUUUGUCACCACUUAUAUUCUUGUCUCCAGCAUUUUCAGCCUUGUAGUCAGUUUGAUCUAACAGAUGAUAGGGUGAGUAUGUUGUGGACUCCAACAAAUGAGAUGGUUUCAAUUAGGAUCAACCAGAAAUAAAAAAAUUAAAUUAUAAAGCUGUGAUUUGAUAGUAAAUUGAUUAAAGAAGAAAUAAUUUGAAGGAAAACGGGUGCUUUUAUUUGAUUCUUUUCUGUGCUUUUCCAGGGAGUAGGCAGCAAGAUCAGGUGUUGUCUUUGUAACUUAUGGUAGGGACUAGGUCUGAGGAAAUGUAACAUCUGUACCAACCUACCACUUGGACAAAGCUUGCAUAUACACAUCUUGUGUGUUCCUGUAUUUUCUAAUUUAUGACUAUAUGUUCAAAAUUUUCAUUCAUUUCUCGUCCCAUUAUUUACAAUUUAAAUUUAGGAAGGAAUGCAUACCGUAACUAUUUUCUUAUCAAAUCUUAUGAUGGAAAUUGUGCACUCUGUCGUUUUAUUUUCAAAUCUUCCUUCUGACCUCACUUAUAAACUUUGUUUUCACUCAUUCCAUUCUCCCUCGCAGAACACAAAAGCAGUUUGGAUUAUAGAAGAAGAAUGUGGUAUAUCUGUAUAUGUGGUAACUCCUCUAAAAACAACAGUCUUUUUUAGAGGAUGUCCUGCAAGAGAUCUAAUUUCAGCUCAUAUAGGAAGUGUUAAAUCAGUCUAAUGCAGUGACAGUGAUGAAGACUUGUCUGUCUAAUUAAGUAGAAAAUGCUUUGUGAAAUCAUUAAUAAACUUAAUGCGGUUGCAUGGUUGUCAACUAUGCAUAUGAAUGAAGAUCCUGAUUAAGUUUUUAAAAUCUCUAAGUGAACUGAUUUAACACCGAAAGAAAUGUCCUUGUGAAUGCAAGUACGGAGAAAUUUGAAGUUUCAAGUCUUGCACUCAGUACAUUAUUUUGUCAUUUUUAACAUAAAUUAUUCAGAAAUCCAGAUAUAUUACUGAAUAGUGAAUAAUGCACCCAGGCCAGCUGGAGUAUUCAUUCUCUUUUAACUUGAUCAAGUACAAUAUCUUCUAUAAGAAUCUCUUCUAUUUUCUUAGAAUGGUUCUGCUCCUGUAUGUAAUCAACUACUCAUGUAUACUAGGGAGGGUUUAUCCGACUUAAGUGAUCGUUGGAUGACUAAAAUGUUUAUUUGUUUAUUUAGCGGUUUUUUAGUUAGGCGAUUGAAAUGAGUAUUUUAAAUGUUGAUCAAGCAUUAAAAAAAUGUUAAAAGUGAUAGAAAUUUGUUAUAAUCCCGACUGACGGAUAUGAUCGACAAUUAUAAAACUUUAAGUUGUACAAGUCCUCCUGGUGGUGCUGGGACCGGACCAUUCUUAUUUCUUAAAAAUACUCAUUUACAUUAUUGUAAGGAACCUGCAACGAGUACAACUUUAGUCACAAUCAAUUUUUAAAAGCUUAGACAUAUCAACACCAGUGUUUAUUCGCUUGAACAAAUCUGUAAUUGAAACCCUCAGAUUAGAUGAAAAUAGUUCAUUAGGCCAUUGGGACAUAAUCAGGAGUAAGAAAUGAUGAACCCCUCAUGAAAUCAAUCCGACACAAUCUAGUCCUUUCUCAAUCUAUUUUUUCUCCGGAAUGUUGUUAAACGGAAUUCCAUUCUGCCAGAAUACUACAUCUUGCUAUGAAAAAGAAGAAAAAACAGUUGGCCAAAUCCAAAAGUAUGAACAAACUAGUUAAAAAUCGAGAGUAGAGUGGGAAAAAAACAGGGGAACAAACAAAGAGAAGGCCGUUUGUUUUACAAUCUCAACUGGAUCCCAAUGAGUGUUUAGAAUGGGAAUAAGAAAUAAAAAGGAAAUAUGAGUGGGGUUAUGUUAGCAGAAAGUGACACUGCUGCACAUGAAGAAACAACACCUCCAAGCUCUCCAGAAAACUGGACACCAAAAGGACACUUAUUUGUAAGAGACUGGACCCAUUGGAUCCCACAUUUCAGAGUCACAUUCAAUCACCAUUUCCCACUUUACCAAAUGGAUUUAAAUGCACCAUUAUUCUUGUUUUUCCUAUCUUUUUCAACUUUACCCCUCUUGUCCAUUUCCAGUUAACUUUCAAGUUUUAUUGUUUAUCAUACCUGUUAUACUGCAGUCAGAUAGAUAAUAAUACUGCUUCUAGUAGGAUGCAGAUGAAGAUAUGUUUGUGAACAAAGUUUGAACUCGGCUCGUUAAAAUGAGCUCAAUUUUUUUCAUUUAUUAAAAGAAGUUGAUCUUGAAUAUGAAAAUUUAUUUGAUUUGUAAAUAAAUCCGAGUUAAGUUUUUUGUCUAUUCAACUCGAGCUCGACUCAUUUGGCUCGAGAGCGGCUCAUAUUCGACUCGAACUUCACUGACUCGUCUCAAAAAUUAUUGCACAAGUUAAUACAUGGAUACUCCAUAAAUAGAUUUAUAAGUUAAUAAUGAGACAUGAAAUACAAAACCAAAAGUAACAAAACUGAGUAAGAUACUACAGGUGAUUCACAAGUAAUGACAUACACGAUAGAGAUAGACCCCUCUUCUUCCCUCUGCACACACACUAAGGGACACGCAGAGUAGGAAACAGAGGGGGCAUGCAAGGUAAUGGCGCCAUGAAAAUGUAAAGUUGCAGAGGCCUCACGUGGGAAGGGACAGUGCUUCUUCUUCAACAUCAUCAAUGUCUUAAAGCGACCAUACCCGUUGCUGCGACCACACUGUGGUCUAUUCAUACUAUAAAACCUUUUAAAUCAUCUUUACAUACAAGUCCUAUUUCUGUUCAUGUGUGGACCAUUUGCUCAUGUUACUGUUUCAUUCCUCACAUCUGUUUUCCAUGACUUUGAGUCUUUGACCCAUGUUUCUGCUCACUCUUAAUUGUUGCUUAACACAACAAUAAAACCAAAAAUGAGGUUCAGAGGUUACCUAGUGCAAAUGAAAUACACCUUCAGGGUUUUUCAGCCUUGAACGAGUGUUAGUUAUAGUCCUCUGUCCCCGUUGUCAUUUUGAUUUUUGGCUUAAAAAACAUAUUUCCACUUAUUAUUUUUAAAUUUUUUUUAUGAAUAAAAAUAUAAAUUUUAAUUCAGAAAACUAACCUAGCAAAUGUCCUUUAGUUCUUUGUCGUGUAUUUUCUUAUUUCGUGUAUUUGAAGAUGAAAUUCAUGUCCGACUUGUUUAGAAUUUGUGUACUUAAUCGUAAGUGUAUAUUUAUUUCAAAACAUGUCACGUACGUUUGGUGUAUUUUUCAUGUACUAAAUAUAUAAAUAAUUUUUAAUUUUAAAUAUUUAAAAAAAUAUAUUUUAUAUAUUGUUUUACGAUAUAUAUGUAUAUAUAUUAAAUCUUUAUAUUUUAAUGCGAUUGAAUGUAUAUAUAUUACAUAUAUGUAAAUAUAUAUUUUCUAUGUGAAAAUAUACCUAUUUAGUAUAUUGACAAGACUGUUUGACUCUCACAAGAUUCACACUUACACACCUCAUAAUUAUCGGAGGUUAUAUUUUGAAAAUAAUAAAUUAUAUUUUUAUAUAAAAUAAUGUGUUUGUAUUUAGUUAUUUAUUUCGUGGUGUGUUUCCAAGGGGUUGACACGAGACCUACCUAACAUUUUAGCUGUGUUCGUAUAUUUUUCAUAUCAUAUAUUUAAAAUACAAAUAUCAAAUAUCAAAUUUUUUUUUAAAAAAAGAAUCAAAUUUUUAUUUCAUUUUCAUAUUAAUUUUCAGUGUAUGUAACUCGGUCUACACCAAAUAUACACGAUGGGUGUAAACGUGUGGUCAGACGUCAGAGUCAAAAACCAGAGGGAAGGUAUUGACGUGUAGUCAGAGUCGAUUACAUGGAUGAAUAGAAAGAUGUAACUAAAAGCCCAACGUUAGAGCCCGGUUUAUUGACAUUAGAACGGGCUUUGAUUUGCACUAAAAUUCUAAGAGUAUAGCAGGGUUCAAUCGCUUUUGUUAUUAAAAAAAAUGGAGUCAGGAACUGACAGUAUCAUUAUCAUAUGGAAAAUUGAAAAAUGAGUUUUUGGGUCUUUCAUUCCGAUAUCCAUUUCCUUUUAAAUAACAAGAAAAAUGAUCUCUUUUCUCAAAAAAAAAUAAAAAAAAUUUGAUCUCUUCCUACUUAUCGCUCUCUGUUUCUAUUUCUAAUAUAAAAAAAGCUUAUAUUCCAAUAAAUGACAUAUAUUAUUUCUUCUCUUAUUUUAUAUAUUUUAACUUUAAAUUUUGUCUAGAAUGUACAUUUAGUUAAAAUAUAAAGCAGUUUUUAACUAAAAAUAUAGUUUUAAAUAAUUAAUACACAUGUUAAAGUAUUUAAAAUAAUAUAUUUUAUUAGUCCGGUUAAAAUUAAAUUUUAAUAAUCAAACUUGUGAAGGAAAACUUAAAAAUAAAUAGGUCCAAGAGAUUGUUUAAAUAUAUUUUUAUUACAAUUACAUAAAUCUGUUCAAAUAUGUUAUGAAAUGAAGAGACUUAUAUAAUGGCACAUUAACUUAUUUAAACAAGAUCUCAAAAAUAGAGUUUAGAAUUUAUAUAAAUAAUCUCGAGACAUUUGCUCAUGUGAACACGUUUAAAUUUUAUUUAAAAACAGAAAAAUAAAGCCAUAAUUUUUUUUAUAAGAACUCAAAAAUAUUUAUCAAAUAAUACGAAAAAACAAUGUUAAAAAAUAAAUACGACCAUCCAGUUGUUUUAAUAAUAAUGUACGUCUAACAUUGCAAAGUGACUUAUGAAUUGCGAUAUGUAUGGCUGCGUUAGAAACAAUUACAAGUCAAAUAAACCAACUACCUCAGUAUUGAAGAAAAUAAAGUCCAACGACCCGGUCUGGUCCAGCCGUUGAAAAUACGAUAUAAAAAGACAGAAGACUCGCUACUACAAAUUCAUAGCCUCUUCAGUCUCCCUGUUUCAUCAAGUUCAAAGCAGUUGUAAAUCUCAGUCCCUCGUGUCUUGUAGUAAUACUUGAGACUUUCCACUGAUCUUUUUACGGUUGAAACACCUUUGUGUAGAAACUUGACAAGAAUGGAUGGAACACAAGGUGGUUCGAAUGCACCAGCGCCUUUCCUUGCAAAGACUUAUGAAAUGAUGGAAGAUCCUAUGACAGACUCUAUUGUCUCUUGGAGUCAUGAUGGACGGAGCUUCGUUGUCUGGAAUCCGCCCGAGUUUGCUCGUUUUCUGCUUCCAACUUACUUCAAGCACAACAACUUCUCCAGCUUUGUUAGACAACUCAAUACAUAUGUAAGUACGUCCACUAAUGUUCUUUUCCGAGAGCUUACCAGGAUCAUAUUGUAUUCUAACAGACAUAAAUGAUUGAUUUUUCGUGUCUGCUUUUCCCAAAUGUUAUUACUUCUAACAAAGUAAUAUUCUCAGUUUAUUAAACGAAAAGUUAAUGGUUUUGUGCAGGGUUUUAAAAAGGUGGAUCCUGAUCAAUGGGAGUUUGCAAAUGAGGACUUUACCAGAGGUCAGAGACAUCUUCUACCAAAAAUUCAUCGUCGCAAGCCGAUUCAUAGCCAUUCUAUGCAGUCUCAGGGGAAUCCUUCCAAUCAGUUGACUGACAUAGAAAGACAAGAUUUUGAGGAUGAAAUAGAGAGGCUAAAUCGUGAUAAGAGUAUGCUUCAAUCAGAGUUAGACAGCCAUAGACAGGAGAGGCAAGCAUUUGAUAUUCAGGUAAGAUCACUAGCGCAGCAUUUGAAGAACAUGGAGCAGCGACAGAGACAAGCAGUCAACUUUUCCGCUCAAUUACUGCAGAAAUCCACUGGUGCACAUCACUUUGGAUUUGGUAGUAAGAAGAGAAAAUUGGCAGCAUACCCGUACUUAUAUGAUGAACCUAAUAUAGGACGGAACCAAAUCUCAACUUUCCAUGACAACAGUAAUGCAAUGUCAAUUUCUGUUGUAAGUUCAGAGCUAAUACCGAAUUUGGAUUCAUCCUUACGGGUUUUGGAGAGGUUUCUCCACGACAUUGGUUCAGCUUUGAGUGACGAAGUUACUGAUUAUGAUGUACAACUGAAAACUUUACCAGUGGAUACAACAGAAAUGAGUGCAUCAUCAUCUGAUACUGAUGUCAAUGGCUCGCCUAACUUACCUGUGUCAUCCCCUUCUCAACUUAAGGAUAUUUAUUCAUUUCCCGAGUUGGCUGCUUCUAUGGAUCAUGCAGACAAUCCUGCACUAUCAUCAAUCUAUCUAAAUGUAGAUUAUAGGCCAUCAGGAAUUGAUGCAAAUGCGAGUCUUGCUGCUUUUCCCAGUAUAAAUGCUUUGAAUGAGAUGCAGGAAGGGACUAGAACUAAAGCUCAACCAACUGUGGUUAAUGAUACAUUCUGGGAACAAUUUUUCCUCGAGACUCCGAGGACUGCUUGUGCUCAAGAAGUCCAAUCAGAAAGAAAGGAGGCAGAUGGAGCAAACGGUGAACUUAUGGUAGAAGGUCAACAUACAUGGUGGAGUGUGAAUACUGUAAAUAACCUCACUAAACAGAUGGGGCAUCUCUCUCCGGCAGGAAGAUCUUAGCGUAGAUUAUUAUUUUUCCGGUAAUAUAUAUCUCCGCCUAAAGGAUAUAAUUCAAAGGCAUUUUUUUCCCGGCCUUCUUAUCACUGUAUACUAUAAACUCUCUUUUGAAGAUCAAUUAUAAUCUUCUUGCUGCAAAAACAAUGGAAUGAUUUGAUCUCUUCUAAAGAUUGACUCGUUCUAAUCCAUUUGCUGUGAUGUUAUUCGAACUCUUUUGAAGAAUAAUUUGUUCCAAUCUUCUUGCCGUGACAAUACUUCAAUUCUUAUUUUAAUCUGCCGGAGAAAUUUUCUUGUUCCAAUCUGGUUGUUGAACAAAUCUAUGUUCUGGAACUGAAAUACAGUAAAAUAUGAAUUCUGGUCUCUCGAAACUUAUAAAGUGAUACUCUUCAGGAACUCAAAAAUGCAAGUGCAGUCAUCCACCCAACACAGUUCUCAAUCUUCUGAAACAAAUCUCUCUCUCUGCCCAAGUCUAGCAGGUGUUUGCAUAACCAAAUGUGCAUAGAAGUCGGAAAGAACUUCUCCAUGUCAGAAUUCUAGAAGUGCAGCAGUUACAGGACUCCAGUGUCCAAACUGUAAAUGUCAAUGUUCAAACUGUAAAGGCAUUAUGGGAUGAAACUUGGCUACCCACAUGGCAGAUGGUUACCCCCAAUCCACAGAUUGUAUCGCUGGAAAAAUAGUUAUAAUUUUGAUAAUAUGUGUUUUUAUCCUCUAAGCAAACAAUAUAAUAAUAAUAGGGUUGGCUUCCAUCUGUUUGUUUAAUUCAGUAAUUGACUGAGUGAGUUUGUUCAAUUCAAUCAUCAUCUCUCAAGAGCAAAGGUUGCACCUUAAGGUUGAAAGCUUGCAGUAUGCUGUCUUCAUCCAGGUAAUGAAGAGACAGACUCUAUCCAGGUCAUGUAUCAUGUAUAAUUGUAGUACAUAAGGAUUUACUUCAAUUCUCACACCUCAACUUACCAGAAACCUCCGCAGCUGCAAGUUCCACUCCUAAAAUGAUGGAAUCGACUGGCAUCCCUUACAAUUAUCUCACGCUUCUCUAUCAUGGAUAUAUAUGUCAAGGCUAAAUGACAAUCACCACAGACCCGUAAAUUCUUAGUCACAAGAAUGGGCUUGUUUGGACUCAGCAUAAGAAGAGCGUAUGCAACGGCUAACUUCUCACUGUGGUAGAGGAGAAUUCGUUCCUUCUCCUCCUCUUCAACAUCAUGGAGUACAAAACUAGAUUCUACACUAUAUCCCAGUUUCUUUAUAUCACCAAGCAGUUCCUCUAGUUUCUCAAUUAUUUCUUCCCAAUGCUGGUGUGACUUAUCUCCGCCAACAAAAGCAUGAAUUGCCCCAUUAACUUCCACCCAACUGCAUCCCGGCAAUUUUUUAUAACCACAAACCCUCUGUAAGUUUCUCACAUCAGCUGCAUCAUCCCAUCUUCCAGCAGCACUGUAGAUAUUAGACAAAAGUACAAAGUUUCCAGUACUUUCAGGGCCCAGGGUCUGGAUGUUCUUUGACACCACUUCUCCCAACUCAACAUUCUUAUGUACUCUACAAGCAGCAAGAAGGGCACUCCAGACCUGUACAUCAGGCUGAAAUGGCAUCUUUUUGAUGAAAUCUUGGGCUUCAUUCAGUAGUCCUGCACGGCCCAAAAGAUCCACCAUGCACAAAUAGUGUUCUAACCUGGGGAAGAUUUUAAAUUCCUGAGUCAUAGAAAUAAAGAAACGCUUACCUUCAGCAACCAGUCCAGAAUGGCUACAAGCUGAUAAUAGACCAAUAAAAGUCACAUCAUCUGGUUUCCAACCCUCAGCUAGCAUCUGAUAGAACAUCGAGAUUGCUUCAGCACCAAGCCCGUGAACUCCAUAACCAACAAUCAUUGCAUUCCAUGACACAAUAUCCCUUGUAUGCAUUCUGUCAAAAACUAGUCUAGCUAUAUCAACCUUUCCACACUUGCAAUACAUGUCAGUGAGUGCAUUACAAAUUGAUGUAUCUGAUGUAAAUCCACGCACAAUAGAAUAACUAUGACCACAAGCUCCAUGUUUUAGAGCUGCUAAAUGUGAACAAGCAGGGAGAAAACCUAUCAUAGUCGCUACAUCAGGCUUUAUCUUAAAUCCCUGCAUCCUUUUGAAAAAUUUCAAUGCCACCUCCGCAUAGCCAUUCCCCACACACCCCGAGAUGACAGCACUAAAGGAGACUGAAUCUUUCCAAUCCAUUUCUUCCAAGAAUUUUGAUGCAUCAUCUAUAAGCCCACACUUGGCAUACAUAGAAAGAAGCGUGUUUCCCACCAUAAGAUCCACAAGAGACCCUGCCUUCAUUGCGUAACCAUGAAUCUGCCUCCCUCUCCUCAAAUCAAUCAGCUUGGCACAAGCACGAAGAACAGUUCCAAGUAAAACAGGUGAUGGAUCCACAGAAUUCUCACUUCUCAUUUGAUCAUACAGCACCAGUGCUUCCCCUGUGGAAUCACAUAUAACACAUGCCCCUAUCAUAGCACUCCAACUAACCUCAUUUUUAACACCCAUUGCAUAAAAAACCUUCCUCGCAUAAUCUAACAACCCACAUUUGGCAUACAUAUCCAGAAGCCCAGUCCCCACCAUCACUUCACUCCAAAAACCCCUCCUGACACAAUACCCAUGCACAGCCUUCCCAGCACUCAACACACUCGACUCCCCAAUAGCGGGAAGAACCGAGACAACAGUCGAAGAAUUCAACCCCAAUCCAGCAUCCUGCAUGCGCACAACCAACUCAAUCACCUCCUCAUACAACCCAUGAAUAGAAGCCCCCGAAAUCAUCGCAUUCCAAGCAACAACAUCUCUGUCACACAUUCCAUCAAACACCUUCCGCGCAUCCUCUAAACACCCACAUUUCACGUAAAAAUCAACCAAAGCAGUCGAAACAAAGACAUCCUUGUCAAACCCAUUUCUCUCCGCAUGAUCAUGAACCAUUUUACCAUCAUCAACAACUUGUAAGCUAGAACAAGCUUUAAGAACAAAAGGGUAAGUAUAAUUACUAGGCCUAACCCCAAAAUCAAUCAUUUCAUUAUAUAGAUCAAUAGCUUCAUGAUACGGGCCUUCCCAAGCAUACCCUCUUAUCAAAUGAUUCCAAAUAACAACAUUAGAUUUCUUUACAGGCUCCGGGAUAUUAUUAAAUAAGCGACGAGCAAGAUUAAGCUGGCUACAAGUAAUGUAUAAACGAGUGAGUUUUUCAGAAAUAGCAGGGCUGCUAGUAAAGUUGCUUUUGAGGAAAUGCUGGUGGAUAAUUUUGGCAAGAGUUAAUGAUUUAGAGGAAAUACAGAAGUGUAUAAGUUGUAUGUAGUCUCGGGGUUCAACAAGCCAAUUUCGGGCGCUGUUGAUUCCUCGCCUGCCCGCUGCGCAUGACAUGGAAUGCAAGUUUUAAGACGAAAAAUGGCCGAGGGAGUGCAAGGGCCGUUCUAUUUUGGUAUAGAAAUUUAAGAGCACGUUGGUGACCUGCACAAAUUAAGCCAAUUCGAUAAAUCGAUUUUUAUUAGAGGAUGGCUUCACGAAGGGUUUUUGGUGUCAUUAUCACAAUAUUCGAUAUGAAAAAAUGGACCCAAAUACACUAACUGUGUGGCGUUUCAGAUAUUUGUCAAAAAUGUUAUAUGAUGUAACGUUUAUUGGGAUUUUGACGGGAAGAGAACUAUUUUAUGUAUUAGAAGUUUGUCACGAAGAGGACUAUUUCAUGUAACAUUUUGUUAGGAUUAAAAUGAUAGAACGCUACAUGAUAUCUAAUUCGUGUAAAUCAAUAACGCUUAAUAACUGAUAUUUAAGACCUAUUUCAUGUAACAUUUUCUUAGGAUUAAAAUUAUAGAACGCUACAUAAUAUCUACUUCGUGUAAAUCAAAAACGCUUAAUAACUGAUAUUUGAGGCAUAUUUCAUGUAACAUUUUGUUAGGAGUUUGUCAGGAAGAGAACUAUUUCAUGUAACAUUUUGUUAGGAUUAAAAUUACAGAACGUUAUAUGAUAUCUACUUCGUGUAAAUCAAUAACGCUUAAUAACUGAUAUUUGAGGCCGUUUUUCCCUACUAUAUUAUUUUAGACAUUAAUUAUGUGUUUAGUGAUAUAUAAAGCUUUCGUCUUUUAAAAUACUUGCGAUAGUUCUGAUUACCCCUCAUAAUCCGAUUAAAUCCGCUGAUUAAUUCGAAUUACACUUGCAAUAAUAAAUGGACAUUACCUCGGUAAAAGUAUUUAUGCACUAUCUGAUUCAUUGAACAUAAUGGUACAACAAAACAUAUUUCAUAUCAGAGUAUUGUUGGUAUACACUUCAUCAAUAUCAUCUACAAUUACGACGAGAAUAGAAAAAAUGUUAGGCAGCCCCGUCCUACUACCAAACUAACACAAAACCUCCAAAUUCAAGAAACACCGCACAUUGUAGUUUAAACAGUAAAGAUCCAAGUGUACAAAUUCUUCAGGCUCCCUUGCUCUUUUCUUAUCACUGUACAUGGAUGUCGCGCUUUGACAAGGUUGCACUGUGAGCAUGUUUGCUCUCUUACACCGCAAUUUCAGCUUUCCAAUAUAGAUCUAUAUUUUACAGGCUUGCUGUUUUAUUCUUCAUCUUGUUAAAAUACAUCUAUACAUUAACUCAUGUCGAGUUAAAUUCCUCAGUAUCUAUCAUUUUUCACCUCUAUUGAACACCACCUACCAAUGCAUGGUUAUCAUCUCAUGUUCCUCCUUUAUUGAAUACCCUGUACUGCUGGAUUGUCUUCACGUGGUGAUUCAGCAUAGACUUGGCCUUGGACUCUUCCAUCUCUGAAUAUGGAUAGAAUUGAGUUGAAACUUUCAGAAUAAACCCCACCUAGUAACCAUAACAACAUGGAACUAAAUGAGUUCAUAGCCCCAGGGUUGGCACCGUUGUCUUCUUGCCGAAGGUUAGUUUGCCCUUCAGUCCCAGGAGAGUGACCUAAGCCAUCCGAAUUCAGAUUCUCGGCAUGCUGAUGCAGUUCUGGAAGGACCAAUGCUCCAGUUUCUGGCACUGCAGGUUCAGGCCCCCCUCGUUCUCCCGGUCCAGAAGAAAGGUUUGCUGGACCAGAGUUUCUAUUAUUCACUCUCGUGAUGUGCAAAGUCGAGGCAAGUAUAGUAGAUGAUGUUAUGUGAAAGUCUGGAUGCUGCUGAAAGUUUGAUCUCCGAUUCAACAUAAACCUCUGAAGAGCUGGAAUCUGAAAUUAUUCAAACAAAAAAAGGGGCUGAAAAAGAAAUAAGCAGGCGUACACUCACACACCAGAACAGUAUAACUUUAGUGUUGCCAAUAACACGUGUGGGUAUGGCAUUAACUAAUAUUAUUUAAUAUUUUGCACUUCAGAAAAUAAUUAAAAACCAAGUAAAUUUUUGUCAAAGUAUAAUUCUCAAGAUUUUUCUACGGCCAAACUUAAAUUGUAGAUGACUCUGUACAAUGUCAUACAACGAUAAAAUUAAUAUAGAUAUAUAUAUUGUAAAAAUCUAACCACUGAUUAAAAAAAAUCUGAAUAUGCAACUUUGACAACAUGUCCACCUACUAAAUUUUUUGCAUUAUGUUUCGACUAAUAUUAAUAUGUGUCAUUGGUUUAUUGCAUGUCCAUAGGAACAAAGAGAAAAAGANGGGACAAGGGAGGAGGGACUAUAGAUAUAUGUAAAUAAAUGCAAUUCUCACGUUAUAUGCCUCUUGUGUAUAUUAGAGCCAAGCAACAAUCAAUAUUCUGCUCAGGAACACAGGCACGUCCACUAUUCAUUCCUAAAAGUUUGCAGCAAAAGAAAAAAAAAGUUGGUUUACCUCAAACCGAUUCCAAAAGUAGAGGAUUAGAUGUUGCAUAAAUGCUGCAGUUGUAGAAAGAGCCAGAUAGGAAAAUCCUGAUAAAAUUACUAUAAUGUGAUUACAAGCAAAAGAUGAUGUCCUCCUAAAGAAUUUAGGAAUGAAGAGUGAUUGACUCAUACCAUAGGUAUAUGAAAAGAAGUAGAUGUGGAACACCAAAAAAUAGAGCAAAAAGAAGCGCGGGAAGAACUUCAUUGAUAUCGGAGUUCGAACACUGCAAGUUUAAUAUGAGAACAAGUUAAUACAAGGAACAGCUUGUAAACAGAAAUAGCAAGGCAUACUUGAUGGAAAAAACUUUAUCAAUCAUCAUCAAACAAGAUCAAUUUCUCAGUAAGACCCAUCACUAGACCUGGAAAUUUGGUACACGACACGAACAUGACAGGGCAACUUGGUGUUUGGGUUUCAAUUAUUGGUACAUGAACAUGAAAAUACACGAACACGAAAGGAAACGGUGAAUUUAGUGUCGGAUAUGGGUUUUCAUUUCAUAUACACGAAUGUACACGAUAUAAAUAUAUUUUUUUAAAAUAUAUAUAUUUUUAUGUAAAAAAGUAUAUUUACAUAUAUAUAGUAUAUAUAAAUCAACAAACUCGUGCAUAAUUGUAUGCAAAUAUAAAAAUUUAAUAUACAUUUCAUUAAAUAGUACAUAAAAAUGUAUUUUUAAAAGAUAUUCUAAUUAAAUUUUAUUAAUAUAUUAAUAUUAUAUGUACACGAAAGUGACAUGAAAAGUACACGACACAUUUUGAAACGGAUAUGGGUUUGGGAUUAGGUACACAAAUCCUAUACGGGUCGGAUAACGGGUUUCACCUUCAAGUACCCGAAACACGAAAGUAAACAAAUACGAAAGUACACCACAUGACACGAUUGACAGGUCUACCCAUCGCCUACCAGUCCUGAUCCUUUUUGGCUAACCAUGAAAAGUAUAAUUUUUUUGCUUGCAAGUUAUCAUCUGUUGGGAGAUAGUUCAAUUUAUAAUGUAUUUAUCACAAGUUCCCACAACUUGUGUGGAACAACAAUGGAAAAGGAAAAAUGUUACAUGUAGUAAGACUAAUGUAAAAUCUUGUCACGGUCGAAUUACAAACUUAAUAUAAGUCGCUGAAAAGUAUAGCCUACUUGCUAUUAAACUUUUAAGUCAGUUUUUAGUCAUAAGUUGUUAUUUGAAAAAACAGACCAAUCGAGUUAAUUUCGACUUAUAUGUUGCAAAGCCAGACUGGAGUGAGGGUCUUGUUCUAGUCUCAGUUAAGUUGACACCGCAAAACCUAGAUAUCUCAAAUCAACCUUCAGAACCACAUAAUAAAAAGCACAUGUUAGUCUAUCUUGCAUGUUUUGUCAUUAAGAUGAUCUCCAUUUCUUGGCAUCUGUAACAAAAACAGUUUAAUAAUAAUCCAAAGGAUCUCUGAAACAGUGUAUGCCUACAGAAAAACUACGAUACUUUGGAAUCUUAACAGCUGGGUAAAAUCUUAUUACAUACUAGUAAUAAUGAUUAACUUUAAUGCAGUAGCAUCAUCUAUAAAAGAAAAUAAUUGGCAAUAAGAAUUUCAAGUUACUGCAUCAGAGCACAGAGGCAGAUGUUUGCAGAUGGGAAAUAUUGCAUUUCUUUUGAUGCGUUCAAUUAUAUGAAACUUACUUAUAUAUUAUAAUUGGCAAUGCUUGACAGAGCAACAAUAUUAUAGUCUCAAUCAUAGAAAUGUACAAUUUUAUUUCUCAUCUUUGUUUUGAGUCAAAAUCACUUAUCCUCCUUUCAUUCAUUCAUUCAGAGAGAGAGAGAACCUUAUCAGCGUGAAUAGUUCACAUAGCCAAACAAGGAUCAACACCAUGAAAGCCAACAGCUGGUCAUCAUAAAACUCGAACAGAAAAAACAGGAUGCCGAUCAUAAUCUGCAGUGUCAAAAAAUAUAACUAAAUUAGAGAAGGGUUGAGUGGACCUACCAGAUAAUUAAGAAUUUAAGAUGACAAAAAAUGACAAUAAUACAUAAAAAAUAAUACGUAAUUUAUGAUGGACCCCUCCGGUCAUGCCAUCAUAGCAUUAAACUGACGAAAUGAGACAUGCUUACAGGAACAAAUACAAGAGAUUCAAUCACGUGCACAAAUAUCAACUGGAAUGUUGGAAGCUGAUGACGAGCAUGGUGCUGAAGCUGCACUGCAAUAAUUCGAGGGGAAAAAAAACCUAAAUUAACACAGCCCAAGGAGUGAGCAAUUACUGAUGUAGUGGGUUCUUAAUUUUUAUGUAUUCAUUACUAAUUCAAAAUAUUCUCAGGAGACAGAUCAUUAUUUGCGAUAUAGUCCUAAAUUCAUGAUUCAUGCCAAUAGAGCAUAAUAAUUAGAGUUCAGAGUUUGUAAGAGAUUAAACAUCUGUUACAGGGCAUUCUAUUUUAAAUCAAGGGCAUCAAUGAACAAAUACAAUAUUAUAAAACAAACCUGUGAAUUUCAGCAUGCGGGUUUGGGUUUCUCUCAAGGUAAAUGAAACAGACAUUGUGGUUGUGAAGAAAACAAACAUCGACAUUAUAAGCACACCACACUUGGUUGCCAGGUAGUCUGCAGAUGAUAGGAAGAUGCAACCAUACAUGUCAAUGAUCAAGGCUACUUAAUAAAUACUACGAUUGGUAUACCUAAUUCUAAAGUUUUCAGAAGGCCAUGUAACACUGUGGUGCUGCAAACUUCAUUUUGGCAUUAAAACACCACUAUGUAACGUACAACGGAAUAAAAUAUUCAGAACCUAAAAUACUCCAUUAAACUUACAAACCUCCAAAUCUAAGUGAAACUUCAGGUUGCUCAUGCGCAUAUGUAAGGUUAUAGAACUCCCUUGUUUGGUAAUUAUAGAGGUAACCUGCACAGAAAUAUAUAAAAUAUCCUCAACAUAUGAAUAUGGGACUAGAUUGAGACCACCACAAUACCUGGUCCAAAUUUUCUCUUAGUGAUGGUAGAGGCAUUAUGGCUUUAAACUUAUGUAAGAAACUAGUCUUUUGCAAACAUAAAAAUGCAAAUUAAGAAAGCAACAAAUGAAUUGCAGAAAGCUACAUUUAGCAUGCAGGUUUCAGGGUAGCAUUUCAGAAAUUUUUUUUGAUAAAUUGACGAGUUCGCCAACAGAGUAACAUAUUCUAAAAUUAUGAAGCACAGCAUUAUGUGGUUACUGUCAAUGAAUAAAACUAAAUUAAAUAAUUAAGAGGAAAAAGAAAGAGUGCCUAUUUCGUUCAAUAUCCCACAAGAAACCNNNNNNNNNNNNNNNNNNNNNNNNNNNNNNNNNNNNNNNNNNNNNNNNNNNNNNNNNNNNNNNNNNNNNNNNNNNNNNNNNNNNNNNNNNNNNNNNNNNNNNNNNNNNNNNNNNNNNNNNNNNNNNNNNNNNNNNNNNNNNNNNNNNNNNNNNNNNNNNNNNNNNNNNNNNNNNNNNNNNNNNNNNNNNNNGGGUGCAAUUUGCAUGGUGGGUUACCUUGACCAGGAGAAUUCAACAAACUAUUCAUUAAAAUUGUAUCAUAUCCGACAAGUCUGUUUAUCAGUAGUUGUUGCCACCUACACAAAAGAUAAUAUAAAUUCGGAACAUGUCAGGUUAUGUCAGUCAUAAACAAUUGAAACAAAUAAAGUUCUAAAAUUACGAUAGAACUUCAAUAUCUGCAGGAUACUAUAAUUAUAAGCCCCUGAAAUUUCUCUAGAAAAUUACAUGCCCGCCUUAGAUGCUAACAAAGAAUCUACAGAAGUUGACAAGUAUCACCUUCUACUUCUUAAAAUUAUACAAAGUUUAAGAAUGAUUUACUAGUCAAGCAACCUAUUAAAAUGAAUCCGAUAACUACAAAUUAGCAGUAAAUAUAAAAUAGUAGUGGAAUAACCUGUUACCAAAGCAGGAAUGCCGAGCAGAAAUGCUAAUAUUGAUUGUACGAAUAUUAUGGCGUAGCUUAGCUUCCUCAGGUAGUAAGAAAUAACCCUAUAUAACAUGUUUGUGAGAUAUACUGGUAAGGAUCAACUUAACAAAACUCAUUGCUGCCAUGGAAUAACAACUUUACCUUUUCCCUGGUGUAUAAAUAAGUCGGUUCGAAUGCUUUGCUUCUCUUCUCUAGCCACUGCACUAAAAGAUAAAAUGCAAUUCAGAUGCAACACAUAUGAUUUUUUUUCAUAUAUACAUUUGGACAAGUAGCAACUAUGUAGGCAUGAUGCUACACAAAUUAUUCUUUUACUAAUAUAUAUCAACUUUAGAGUUUAGAUAUCUUGCAAGCAGACGACGCAGAAAUAGGAAAUUGCUGAAUUGCAGUUAACACAGUUGUAUAAACAAAGUAUAUAAUACCCAUACAUUCAACUUUCAAUCAAAGAUCCAGCAUUGAAAUACAGAGUUUACUGUAAAAAGGAAAUAUGUAAGGCAGUGCAGCAGCUAAAAAAAAUCAAGUACUGAUAAUUAAUAAUAAGUGUAUUUCCAGUACCAAUAGACAUAUUGAUAAAGUACACUUCCACAACUACCAAAAAAGAAUAGAUACACUCUCACUACACUACCACAGAGAUGAAAUUUAGCUAACAUAAGAAAGCAUGGUCUUUUGAUAAUACUGAAACCUGAAACAAAUGUAACCACCUAACAUCAGCUUAACUAUACCUUCAUAUGGCCAGAUUGUACUAUGUUCAAUCACUACGACCCCUAAGACAAUAAAUUAAACUAAUUGUCACAUAUUAGUACUAAACAGUUAUAAUUUUUUUGGUUUUGCUGAUUUAGAAAUUAUACUUAUCUUCAAACUGACUGUCCAAGUAUUCCAAAAUGCAAAUACCUGCAAGUGAGUUCAGAUGGUCCAGGUGAAGUAUAUGUAGCCACUUUGGAAUGUCUAGAUUCAAAUGUAUACCAGCAAUAUCCUGCAAUUUAAACAUUACAGUUCGUAAACAAAUAAUGUUGGGGUCUAAAAGCAGAGUAAACAAAUCCAUGGCUAGUGCAAAGAUUUUAUUGGAGUGUGUAGUACAGGGACUCUAUUGCACAAGUUAGGUGGUUCAUAUGUCAACUGUAAAAAUUAUAACCGUAGUUAUGUGACAUCCACACCCACAGAAUAGAUGCUAGAGACAUAUUAUGACCGCAAAAUUGGUGGUAAUGGUAAAAAAUUCGUACAUCGCUUGUGAUAGAUAUUAACAGAUAUCUAUCACAUGCAUCAAUAAUAAUGUGUCCAAGAUACUUGAGGCCACUACUGUGUUGGUGAAUUAUAAAUAUAUUUAUAAUGGCAACACCCACAUCAUAUGCAUCAGACGUAUUGACUCAGAGGAUCGACAGCUUAAAUAUCUGAUGACUUAGUACUGCAAAAUUUCUUUUCAGUUAACAUAUAAAUCCAGUGAUCCAAAUUUCCCUGAUCUACUCACCCAAAAAACUCCUAGAAAUCUCUUUGAAUGUCUCCAGAUGAAGGAUAAGCGCCCAUACCACUUUCUGCAGAUGUGGACCAUUGCCGUUCUGAGUGUUUCCUUGGUUAAUAAAGAGAAUCUAUUACGAGAUUCAUCUUUUUUGCCUUUAUUAACAUCAUCUACUGGCUUCAAGCCUUCACUGGUAGUAGAAGUAUCUGGAUGAGAUUCGAACAUUUCACUGUCGGACUUCCACAUCUUUAAUGCUGAUUUGCUGCUCCUUGCACCUGAGAUAAUCCAGUUCAGCCAAAACCUCACAUCCAAAAAGUUCAGCCUGUAUUCAUCCACAUCUGACACUUGAACUGUUUCAACUCCAAUGCCAGGAGCAUCCAUCAUGUUAUUUUCAGAUUCAUUAUGUGACCACAAGCCAACACUGGUAAUCUGCACCAAUAUUAGAUGAAAGUGCGAUUAAAUUACAAUACUAAGUGUAAGGUUUAUUAUUUAGUCACAAGUCAUUACUUGCAUAUAAAGCAGUUAGAGCUGUUAAUAUCCAGUAAUGUCCAUUACAUAACUGUAAGUUAUACCGACAAAAACAAUUAAUUUUUUAAAGGUCAGAAUAAGCUAUUCAGAUGAAAAUUACAAUAAAGGACCCCACCUUCAAACACACUCUACAUUGACGUUGUUUUAUACUUGCUAACUGAAAUAACAUGUACAUCAUUUUGAUAUCUUUGACCAACUUUGAAAGGUUUACUUUGCCCUAUAUAAAAUUAAGCUAUUCUUCACAAAGAAAAGAAGGAGCCUCGGGAUUUUCCGAUAUGGAUCUAAGCAGAGGAUGGCAAUUUGAGACCUCAAUAUGUACGAAACCAAUGUUCAAAAUCUUUCCUUUGCACAUUGACUAAACUCAAUGACUCCACCUAUUGAAAGUGUUUCUUUUGUUUCAUAAAACAUCCCUAUCAUUUAAUAACAUUUCAUAUGAGCUUAAAAAAACCUUUAAGACAUAAUCUGGGCAGAAAAGUUGACUCAAGAACGUGAUAAAUGUCAAUUAAGCAAAAUAUCAAGGACACUCGGUUGUUUAAUAGAUCACCUCCGCUAAACUAAUUCAUGCUUGAAACAAAACACAUAUGCUAGUACAGUGAACAAGUGAUACCAAUAGCCUUGAAAAUAAAAGAACUAAAAUAAGAAAGGCCCUCCUCCGUGUUCUCAAACUACAAUUACCGAUCAUCAACAAUGGUAAAAAUUCAUCAUCAAUAUAUACAGUUACUAAUAUCAAAAUUAACGAGGAUAGCGAAUAAGACGAGAGACCUUAAUAUGUAUGAGCUGAGCGUCAGCGGUUUCGAGAGUGGUGAGCUGAGUUGAGCAGCCAGGCUAAAAAUGAAGUAAAAGCAAGAAUGAGAAUGGGCAUAUAAUACAAGCAUUAUUACAUAAUAGAGGUGGAGAGUAGCGUACCUGCUGAACGUAGUUGGCGUGCAUAACAACGAGAAUACAGAACAAAGUGAUAGCGAGAAAGAGAUAAAAGUACUCGAGAGAAGCUCUUAUUCUGGGUUUCAACAUCUGUGUGAACCUCUCUUGUACCCGUAUAAACGUCUGCUCCGGAUCCAUUACUCACCCCAACCCGAUCCGAUCCUCUCUUUAUAUUUAUCUUUGUAUAUGUGAUGACUGAUGAUAUGAUAUGCCCUUGUUUCCAAUCUAUGUCUUUGAAUGUGAUGAUGAGUCUAUCAUCCACUUGUCAAACGCCUAUUCGCUGAAUUUAGUUAGGGUUUAACCGUAAUUGUGUGAUUCCGGUAACCUAAUUCAAUUGCUGCUCAUCGCCAUACGACUUGAUGAUUUCCGAGCAAAUUGUGCGUUGGGACGUGUUUGGCUACACCAUAUCUAUUUCUUGCUCUUUUUGGGUUUUUAUUUUUUGUCGCUUCCUUUGGUUUUUAACAAGGCACUUUGUCUCGGGCGUUUUGUUUCUUUAUUUUGAUUUUUUUUUAAAUGAGUUAAUUCAAUAAUAAAAAGUUAUACGACAUCUACAUAAAUAGUCGUAUCGAACAAACAAAAUACAAAAACAAUCAUUGAUUAAUCCAUUCUUAUAAAAUCACAUGAUUUGUGAUUUGUUGAAGAUGAUAUUUAAUUACUUAUACAUAUUUCGCCGCUUUCACUUCCGUCAUAACCAGUUUAAGUCUCUUUAUUUUGAUUUAUAAUAUAACUUUUAUCUUUAAUCGCUUAACCAAUGUCCGGAUCAUAAUAUAGAUUACAAAUAUUCGAUGGAAAAUAAUUUGUUACUAAGUUUGAGAGAAUUAAAUAUAAAAAUACCUUUUUCACGGAAAAAGUAUCCAAAAUCUCAUAUUAAAAAUGGAAAUUUCCAAAUUAUGUGUGGACAAAAUUAGUAUCCUUGUUUAAUUAGUUAAACACAAAUAGUUCACAUACGUGUAUCCAUCGUAAUUUUAUACACAUCGCUUAAGUCAUGUACUCGUGUUACAUAAAACUACACAUUCACAUAUAACAUCAAACAUAUAAAAAACAUUCUCAUGCAUAUAUAUUAAUUUUAACACAUAAACAAAACCCAUUUUUCCGUGCAGUAUAUGAUCAAAUAACUUAAGUUUAUUAUCUGCUAGAAUGAAAGCGCUAUAUUACAAAAAUACAAUUGAUGAUUUUUUUAAUGAUGAGUUAUACUAGUAAAUUAGAAUGAGGGAUGAUAUUGUGAAACAUGUUGGGGGCAAAUGCCAGACAAGUAAAUUCAAUCAACCGAACCGGAAACAGAGGAGACAAAGAUAAUCUCAUUACUCACUGCUGGUACGUGUGAUUUGAUAUUACGUACAUGUGUGCAUCAUCUGACAUACAAGACAAUAUUUAUCACAUGCAUUUAUAUGAUGCAUCUUCUAAAAUUACUACGCAUCCUUGAGUGGCGUAUACAAUAUUUGUCUUUAGAAAAACCACUCCAAUGAUACACACGCAUUUGUGCGAUGCGUACCACUCUAAUGAUACAGAUACACAUGCAUUUGUGUGAUGCGUAUUCUCUAAAUACAUUUUUCAGUAGUUAUAUAAGACUUAUACAAGACAUUCUUUCGCUUUUAUGAAUAUUUUGGUUGGAGUUUGGUGAUAAUUCGUUAUGAAAGGCUUUCCCCCAUUUUCACAAGCUCAAAAAUGAUUUGCCGUAUGUUUUUUCAUUUCUCAAAAUGGAUUUAGACUCACAAGUCUAAAAGCUAGACUUAAAAAGACAGUCCAAAACCACCUUUAUGAAGUGCAAUUUUAUAAAUCAGAGACUUUUAAUCAAAUUAAGAUAUAAUCGAUUAAUUGAUAAUAUAUUUCUUAAGAAUUAAUAAGAGAUUUUUCAAUAAAUCACGAAUCUUUUAAACAGUGAGUGCAGCCCUGCUCAUACCACCCAACUAGUUCCCUUCCAAAUAAGGCACAAAAAGGCAUCCAUCCCUAAGAAAAAAAAGGCUAGAAAAGGCUAGACAAAUUACCAGUUACUCUAUAAAAUAAAAGGACAGCCAUCAAUCAAAGACACAUGUUUGAAAUUAUUUUCAAAGCUUUUCAUAUCCACAGAGCUUUUGUCAGGACAAAUAAAAGGUUUCCUUACCAGCAUUUCCAUAAACUCAAUUUAUCUGGCCUCCCCGUACGCCACUAAAGGUCACCAAAAAACCCCCAAACUAAUUUUGUCAGCAAAUGUGCCACUUCUAUCCAACCAAGUCAGCUCUCCUCAUGAGCAGAUAUUAGAGUUUCUUUUUGAACACACAAAAGGGUUUGGCUCUGUUAAACAUACACUUAGACUGAUUCUUUCCUCUUAAGUAUCAACUACAUAGGAGAUGUUGCGACCUCUGCUUCCAUUUAUACAUCUGAAUAUUAGGGACAAUACAUAUACCUUACAAAACAGAACCGAAUCUUUGACAUCAAUCAAGACACUAUCCAUUUCUCAAGACUUGUUCAAGGAGGUAUAAAAGCAAGCAGUAUCUAACCUUCUGUUCUCCUUCACCCAUCAGAAACUAAAUUUGCCAAAACAGGCCAAGUAUACCGAAAAGCAACGAAAAGGAAAUCAAAGUUAAACUACUAGUUCUGAACUUAAAACCUAAAAUGAGCGCCCAACAAAAGAACAUGCCACCAGCAGAUCCGAAAUAUAUAAGUUCCAGUGGAGAAGGGAACCAAAGUGAAUAAAAGAACAAACCAAAUCAUAGAUUUCAAGGAGAUAUGUCAUUCUCUGCAUCAGAGGAAGCUGGAGAAUCAGUAGCUUCGGCAAGAUUUUCAAGCAUUAAUAUGACCUCACUUGAGUCGUCAAGAUAAUAUUUCGCUUUGCUAGGCUUUUGUCCAACUGUGCAGGCAAACACAGAAGUGUUGGAAGAAAGAAUAUUUGCUGAUAUUGCACUGCCAAUGAUUUCAAACAUGUCCUCAUCAGAUCUAUCAUCACCAAUGCAAAGCACAAAAUCAGCCUGCUUCCCUUUUUCAGCCAUUGAAGUGAAGAUCUUUUCCGCAACUAGGCCUUUGCUGACUCCCUGAGAAAAAAAAGAGCAAUAAAGGUGCAGAUUCAGUCACUAACAGAACAUUCGAGCUCCAUAAUACAACUUACAUUUGAGUAGAGAUGCAAAAAAUAAAUGCGACGAAUGAAAGUUUUAUGAUCCAAAAAUAAAUAUCACCACCGAAAUUCGGGCUUAUUUAAUUCAAAACUAGUGCACUUAGGAUCCAAAAAGUUUAAAGCCAAAACAAUUAAUAUCAGUGCCAAAACAAGGACUUUUUCAAUUCCAAGCAAGUAGAAUUCCAAAAUAAAAGUGAAAAAACUUCAAAAAGUACUCGUGUAUACUUUGAACAAAUUUGAGUUGAAAUGAAGAAAACACAGAGCAUGCUUUUUCCACUUUUGAAAGUUUAUACAACAUACAUACGUUAAUGGAAAUUUUAAUUGUAUAAAAUAUCAUCACAUGUCACUAUAAACAUUCCCUUCGAUUUUCAUAUAAAAAAUGGAGUGGAAUAAUAUAAGAACAGAACCACAGUUAGCAUCAUGAAAUGCAAUACUAUAACAGAAUUCAGAAACUCGGAUAGUAAUAUUUGCCUGGGGUUUGACUUCUACGAUGAAUUGACCACUCCUCACAGCAACAGGUUCAUUUGCUAAAACACUCUCUAGAUGAUCUAACAUCUCCUUUGCUUGAGAAAAUCCAAACCCUGGGUCUGCAUCCCUGUAUUGCCAUACAAGAGCACUUUCUUUUGUUUCGAUAGAAGAACCGUCUGUUGCCUCAGUAUAUAAUUUCAUCACAGGUUUAGCCAUCUCCAUCCAACCAAAUUCAGUACUUUGACCACAAACUUCCCAUUCUUCAUCAAUUGACUGCCUGAAAUAUUUAUAUAAGCAAUUAGGAUAAUUUAUCAAAAAGUUAUAUUCUUAGGAAGGCGUUACUUAUUUGCUAGCAUAACGGCGAUGAACACAAAGGACAGCACUCCUGCCUACUUAAAAUUUAACGCAUAGAAAACUCCGUUUCGUAAUUAAGUCUACGUGUAUAAUUAAUAUUAUGCUUUCAACAGUAUUAAAAGUCUCCAUUUUACCAUUGCAAGAAGAGAUUUUAAGAAAACUGCAUAGCUUAAAGAAUUUUAAAUAUCAGGCUUCUAUUUUAAUCAUGCCAUUUCGCUGCUAAUGUAAAUUAAUAAAUAACAGAUAAUUCUUAGUGAUCUACUGUAAUGUGAAAAUCUUUCUAUAAAUCGUGUGCCAGUCACGAGACGAAGAAAACUAGACAGAUGCCAGUUAAAGAUCAUACCAAACUCGGAAUUUCCCGUACAAGGAGAUCUGACUAAAAAAAUCAACAGUAGGAAUGCAUGAUCAAGAGGCAAUUAUAUAUUUAUAUAUUUAAAUUUUUAGCAAAGAACAAUAUAUCCUCCAGUGUCUCCACAGUGCCAUCAAUGCCUUCAUCAUGUUUUGUUAACAUUGCAAUCUAGAGCAGUAAGCUGACUAUCUUUUCCAUCAAUUACCAAAUACUCCCUCCGUCUCCUUUUACAUGUCCCUUUUGGGGAAAAUAUUUGUCUCAAAAUACUCGUCUCUUUCACUUUUCAAAACAACUUUUUUAAAAUAUUUUUUCCAAAGAAUACCCUUGGACUACAAUUUUCAAUGUUUUACUAAUAUCCAUAUACACACAACUCAAUUUAAUUCACUGCAAUUAUUAGGGGUAGACAGGGAAACAAAAAAAACUCAACUAACAAUUUCAAAUGAUGCUUAAUUUUUUCAAAAGGGACAUGUAAAAGUGGACUUAGGGAGUAUCUGACAUCAACUGUUUUUCCCCAUAUCUAACUGGGAAUCGAUAUACAUGGAGGCAGAGAAGCUUAUCUGAAUAUUCAAGUGAAUGCAACUAGAUUUACGGUUUUCAUUGGAAUAAACACCAAUGAUAUUCAACUGAUAACAGUGUAACCUUUACAUUAUUUCGUUAACCAAAAAAUGUCCAAACAGACUUGUAUUACAAAUGGAAAAAACUUGUGUAGAAAGGUCGAGAACUAUUAUAUUCACAAGGAUCACACGAAAAGAAAAAGUAAUUUAAUGACAGUCCUCAUGACCAGCACAAACAGCUGAAAAUCAACUUUGACAAGGGACAAGUAUUACUAUAAAGAUAUAUUUAUAUAUAUAUAUAUAUAGGGAAGUGCUCAAAUACAAACUAAGUUAGUGUACAAACUACAAACUCAAUAUAAGCCCUUGGAUGAAUCUAAUCCAAUGGCCCCGCAGGGGCAACCACACACCAGUUAAUAUACACCCUGUCACACAUGAUCCGCAGAUUCCCCUCCGUUUUUAAUUUGAAUUUUCCCGUUAAUCGGUGAACUUUUUUUGAAAUCCGACUUCACUGUAUUUUUGUUCAUCUCGCAACGAUCAAUUUCCAUACCAUAUGUGCUAUAUUUCGAUUUGAUUUAGAGACUUUUUAAUUUUAGUUUGUAGUUUGUACGCUAAGAUUGUUUGUACCAGAGUAGGACCCUAUAUAUAUAUGUGUGUGUGUGGGUGGGUGGGUGUGGGCGUGUGUGGGUGUCUGUGUGUGCGCGCGUGCAUUAAUUGAGGGAUAUUCUUCCCAUUCGUAGAAGGAUCGAGAUUUCAAUACAACCCGAUGUGCAUAUUAAUCUCCAUAUGACUCUAAGAGUUGAAUCCAUCAAUUUUUUAGACAGCAUAGUUGUGCAGUAUAAGUAUAGCAGUUUCCUUGAUAUUAGUAUAAAGAAAUAAUAUUUACCUCAUGAAAUAGCCAUGUUCUGCCGCAAUUCCAAGCUUCUUGCAGGAAGAAAAAAUACGACUUAAGCUGUCCCUCCCUCGCCCACUGACAAUAAAAACUGUAUUGUUUGGAUCCCCACAAAGUCUAUUCAAAAUUGAGAAAACCUCACUACUGGGAGAUUUUAUGAGGCUAUUUUGGGGCAUCACAGUACCGUCAUAAUCUAACAGAAUGGCCCUUCGCUUAGACUUGAUGUAAGAUGACACAAUAUCAUCUAUAGAGAGCUUUCUAAAAUUGGGAUCUAGUGAUACAACCCUAAACCCGAAGCCCAAACCAAUUCCCCAACACCUUUUCUUGAAAUGAUCAGCGCAAGUUCUCUCCAUAUCUUGCAAGAAACUACGUGACCAAUAAGCUACAUCAUGUGAGCUGACAUAACGAUAAUGCUUUUCAUGUCGUAAUUGUUUCUCUCCUUCAUCCAUUGAUAUAGCCUCGUUCAUUGCCUCGGCAGUUGCUUCAACAUUCCAUGGGUUAACACGGAUUGCUCCACUCAGGGAAGGAGAACACCCUAUGAAUUCUGACACAACCAACAUGCUCUUCUUUGGUCCAUUUAGAUCUGAGGACGCUUCUGCACCAGAUAUUCCUUGUCUACACACAAUAUAUUCGUAUGGAGUUAAAUUCAUCCCAUCUCGAACUGCUGUAACAACCACACAUUCUGCUAUACUGAAAUAGGAAAUCUUUUCGCUCAUCGAUAAAGGUUUGUCGAUAAAUACUAUGGGUUCGUAUCCAGGCUUCCCAAAUUUUGCAUUAAUUCUCUUGCAGCUUUCCAGUAUUUCAGCCCGUGUUUGCUCCAAAUCAAUUCCUUUACCUCUUGCAGGGUUUACAAUUUGUACAAGCACAGCUCUUCCUUGCCAGUCAGGGUGCUGCUUCAGCAUCUGUUCCAUUGCUAAAAGUUUCAAGUUAAUACCUUUAAAGACAUCCAUAUCAUCAACUCCUAGUAACACUGACUUCCCUUCAAAUCUCUGCUUCAGCUCCCCAACCCUCCACUCUUUAUCAGCAAGCCUCAUCACCGACUCAAUCUGACCCAUAUGAAUCCCAACAGGCAUAAUCUUUAUUCCGACAGUCCUCCCAAAAUAUUCUAAACCUAUGUAUCCCCUCUUUGAUUGGUACUCCAAACCUAACAUCCGACUACAACAUGAAAGAAAAUGUCUCGCAUAAUCAAAAGUAUGAAAACCAAUAAGAUCAGAGUUGAGUAGGGCUUUUAAUAUUUCUUCUCUAACAGGAAGGGUCCUGUAAAUCUCUGAUGAAGGAAACGGACUGUGAAGGAAAAAUCCCAUUCUCAAACGAUUAAAGCGUCUCCUCAGGAAUGUCGGAAGUACCAUUAGAUGAUAAUCAUGUAUCCAAACAAAAUCAUCCUCUGGAUUUAUCACCUCAAUCACUUUCUGGGAAAAUAGCUUAUUUGCUGACACAUAAGCUUCCCACAUUGAACGGUCAAAGCGACUCCCAUGAUCAGCAGAAAAUGGCAGCAUAUAGUGAAAAAGAGGCCAGAGCUGUCUCUUGCAGAAGAUAUCAUAAAACUUCUCUAGCAGAUUAGGCGGAAGGAAAGUAGCAGCACAUUUAAAUCUCUCCAACAAAACUUGGGAAACAUCAUCCUGCUCAAUUGGGUGAACAUCAACACUCAAUGAUCCAACAUACAGAACUUCCAUAUCUUCAGGCAAACCAUCCUUGAGUCGAAAAAGCAACGAGUCUUCGUCCCAGCUAAAACUCCACCCUUUAUUAUCCGGUCUUCGCCUUGCCUUCAAAGGCAACUUAUUUGCCACAAUUAUCAUCCUAUCUGAAGCAAGUGAAGAAGGAUUAUCCGAACAAACACUACUAGCCUGAUCAUCAUCAAGCUCUGUAAUACUCCCUGGCACAGUCAUUACCCUGGAAAGCCGCUUCCUAUCCCUCUCCCGACCCAUUAUCGGGAAAUUCCCAGAUGCCAAAUCCAACAAAUUAGUAUACGACCUGGACAUCAUCUUUACUAAACUUUCUCUAAACACCCUUGUCACUUGUCAGUGAAACCCCUAAUUAACCUCAACCCCCAACCAAGAAGUACCCUCCCUAAUCACAAAGAGCCAUUACAAAUGUAUCUGCAUAUAAAUACAAAACACAUCAUUUUCCAUAAUCAACCAAACAUCACACAAAAAGUAAAAGCAUCAAAUCAAACACACACAAAUACAAUUAACAAUACAAACAACAGAUUAAAAAAAAAACAGAACAAAACCCAGAUCAUUAAAAGUGAUAAAGAACAAAAAAACACAAGUUUAAGAAGACUAUCAAAUACAAGGAAUCAUCAAACCCAAAAAAAAAACACAAAUGAAGAUUAAAAUGGAACCUUUGGAGUAGUGUGAUGAUCUGGACAGUUUACAUAAGGAAGCAGCUCGAUCAAGAUCUAGGGUUUGUAGAAUGAGAGUAUAUAUAUGUAAAAUAUAUAGAAAGUGAGUGAAUUAAAUCAAAAUCAAAGUGAUGGAUAUGAAUGAAUAUUCAAACAAGAAUACAACAAAGAAGCACUCACUGUUUAUUAGAUCAGAUAUAUACUCAGAUAUUUCUUUUUAUCCAAACGCGCUUUUAUUCACAAUUUUAAUUAAAAUUCAUAAAAACACAAGAAACAAACAUGAAAAACGAUUGCCUCACUCGUCACCAUGUUUUUCUAAUGUCAUUCUCGCACGUGCCCAAUUUUUGCAUAUUUAUCAAACAGGCUGUUUCAUUACUGGAGUAUUUCUUUUGUGACUGGUGACGUGUAAAUGUGAGAUUAUGCAGUAUUUAAUUUUGCUUGCUAUUAAGAAUUUAUCGAGUUUUUGAGUUUUUAUUUUCGCUAUGGCUCACCCGAAAAUUAUCGAACAAAUAUUGAUUUGUAUCUAACUUGCGAGAAAAAGAUUUUUUUUAGUUUAUAUAGUAGUAAGAGCAUCUCCAACGGCGUUGGCUAUAAUCGUUGGCUAAAUUGGACCUGUAAGACAUUAUAUAAAAUUUGCUGAACCUGUAACACAUUUUGCUUCAACGGUACUGGCUAUAUUGAUUGGCUAUAAUUUAAAAAUAGUAUGUUCUUAAUAUUUUAAAUUGUUAAAAUAGAAUAUACCAGUUCAAUAUGGUAAUAAAUGAUGUACAAUCUUCCUACAGAUUUUCUUACAGACCUGUAGAGGUUCGACAAAUUUAGCCAUCCAUAAGAGGGUGGCUAAAUUUAUAGACAACAGGUGAGCAUGGUUGGAGCUGAGUUUUUUGAGCUGUUAGCUAUAUUUUUUUAUUUUAAGUAAGCCAACUCAUCUUUUAGCCAAAGGCUUUAGGUGGUUAGAGAUGCUCUAAGAUGACAAGAGAAAAGAAAAUAAAACAGCUGUAUAAAAUGGAAUAUCCAAAACCGCCAGCUAUAUAUAACACUACUUUCAAAAUUUACAGCCAAUGUCAUAAAGUCUAUGGCAUCCUAUUUAAAAUUUAAAAUAACAUUACAGGUCAUAUUUAUAUUGCGAGAAGUUUACAAUCCCAGACACUCUCCUCAUACCGCCCUUAUCCUUAGCAUAUGCCCCCAACGGUUCAUCUCUAUAUGUAUUAAAUUAAUUCCAUCAUGAUAAUAAUAAUUUUUAUUAUGGAUAUAAAACAUGUAUUUGUCAGAAUUUUAUUUUUACCGGCUCAGCUUAAAAUGAAAUUAUAUUACUACUAUAUACUCCUUCUGUUCCGUUCAUUUCUUUACAUUAUUUUUUGGUAUGCUUUUCAACACUCAUUUAAAGUAUAGUUUCAUAAUAUAUUUUUAAUUUUUUUUUGCUCUGAAUAAAAAUUUGAUACAUAAACUAUUAUUAAAAAAAUGAAAUUUUGAAAAAAGAUUAUGAAACUAUACUUUAGGCUUUAGGUAUCCUCAAAAUACGUGCAAACAACGAACAUAAACAUCAAUGUAGAUCAAUGUAGAGGAAUGGAUGGAGUAAUAAUAAUACUAUGCAGCAUCAGCGACAGAUGUUAUCUAUAUGAUCAUCACAAUUUUCCAAGGGUUACGUGAGCAACUAUUUAACGACGUGACAGAGAAUACAAAACAAUCAAUCGGCUCUGUUCAGAGUGUUUUUGUGCAACUAACCAAAGUAAUUCUCAAGGUCAGAGAGAAAAAAUAUUGUGCGAUCGUAUUGUAAGUUUGUAAAAAUUCCAUAUGAUCUCUCAUAUACACGCACUGAUCCCAGAGUUAAGUAUAGAGUUUGUCAAGUUUCUGCAAUAUCUCCGUAUUACACGUAACAUCUCCUAUUCUCAAAAUUCUUAAUCAAAAAUUUAUAUGAUAUCAUGAAUAUAAAAUAUAUAUAAUAUAUGAAAAAAUAAAUAUCGUAAGGAUAUCUUUAUUGAGAUUGGUUAUAACUGUUAGUUAAUUUGAACGGUAAAACAUUAUAUAAAUAUGUUGAAACCGUAAAAUAUUGUAUUUCGAUGUAUUUGCUUUAUUAGUUGGUUAUAGUUUAAAAAUAAUAUGUUAUUAAUAUUUUAAAUUGUUAUAAAUAGAAUGUAUAUAUUAGUGCAAUAUGAUAAUAAAUGAUAUAUAAUAUUCCAAGAUAUGUCUUACCGGUAUGUAGAUGUCCAACAAAUAUAAUGAUCUAUAUGAGGUUGGCUAAAAUUAUACACGAGAGCAUUUGGAAAGGUUCAUACGAGGUUAGCUAUAAUCAUACACAAGAGAGUUUGGAAAAGUGUGGAUUUUCAAGAAAGGAGGCGUUGCUGGAGUAUCAUAUUUUCAUCCAAUUAUCUAUAUUUUUUAUUUUGAUAUGCUUGCUCGCCUUUUAGCUUAAAAAUUUCAUCGUUGGAGUUGCUCAAUAAUUCAUUCUUCUUAACAAAAAAAAAUAUGUUUAAUUUUAUAUAAUCCAUCAAUAUAAUCAAUUCUAUCUGUACACAAUAUUUAAUUUUUUAAUAAAUUGAAUAUUACCUGAUAUUAUGUUUAAAUAUAGAUACACUUUUAAAUGUAGACUUGCUAAUGGUGACUUUUUACUAUUACAUGAAAUCAAUUAAAUUAAAUUUUGUACGUUUAAUACGAUGUGCAAUCGAACAUGAACAAAUUGAUACUCAAAUCCUCGUCCUCAUCAAAUCCUAAAAAACGUAAUCCUAAAAAACGUGUAAGCAAACUAGUAAAAUAUGCGCUUUGUAUGUAUAUUAAUAUUAAUAUAAAUUGAUACCUCGAGUUUAGAGAUUAGCAAUAGCUAAUCCGAAGAAUUUAUAUAUAUAUUUUUAAUCAGGUUGAUAUAGUAAUCCGAAGAAUUAGGAUUAAGUUGAAUGCUACUUUAACCGGUAGUGCAUGAUAUCGCAUAAUAAUAGUGCUCGACCCGGUUCCAGGUGGUAUAUUACACUAUGCACCUAAAACAUAUUGCGUGAUAAUCUGGUUGUUGCUACAGUAACCCGGCCUUUGGAGAGGCUGAUAAGUUGUGUUAAUAAAUUAUUCUUACAUUUAACGCAUGCAGACAAGAUCUCAUUAGCAGGGAAGUUGGUUCUGUUACGUGCCGCAAUUGAUAGUACGCCCCUCUAUUGGUUCUCUCUGUUCAAAAUUCCAGUGACGGUAGCGAACAAAUUGGAGCAAAUGCGUAGAGCUUUUCUGUGGGGCCUUAACAAGACUGGGGGACAAAAGCUACACCUAAUUUGCUGGGACAAAAUCUGCGCUCCGAAAGAGAUGGGUGGACUGGGUCUGCCCUCUAUUCGCCUAAAGAACUUGUCCAUCUUAGCAAAAUGGAUUUGGAAAGCUUAUGCAGAUAGAGGUAGUUUACUAAACAAAUUUUUCACAAUGCGUUAUGGUGAAGCCUGGAACUAUGACUUGGCUCAGUUGGACGUGAAAAAAUGUUCCUCAGUGGUACGACAGAUUAUCAGCCUGAUCUCAGAUCAAACACUAGGGAGAUACCUCUCUAGAGAUAAUUUUAAAUGGUAUGUAAGUGACGGUUCCUCUGUUUUCUUCUGGGAGGAUUGGUGGGUGGGUGGUGGAACGCUAAAAUCUCUAAUGCCUGCCCUUUACGCAAAUGUCAAAUGGAAGCAUAUGGUAGUGAAGAACUUUGUGAACACAUGGAGAGAAAACAGGUAUAAUGAAAAUUUAUGGAUUGAUAGUCGAAACCUGCAUUCCCAGGAAGAGUUCAAGGAGCUAAGCCAGCUAUUGGAUUCGGUUUCUUUGUCUGCGUCCCCAGACAUCUUGAUUUGGUUGCCCGGAAAAGCUGCGUAUUCCUCAAAAGAAUGCCAAAAGAUAUUUUUAUCUUCUAACUCCCAAUUUGGUAUUCAUAGUUUCAUUUGGAGAUCAAUAUGGAAAAUCAAGGCUCCUCCGAAGAUUUUGGCAUUUCUAUGGAAGGUCCAAUGGCGCAUUCUCCCCACUAGGCAGUUCAUCAGCUCUCGGAUUCCUGGAGUCCUUAAUAUCUGCCCUUGGUGUGAAAAGUCUCCAGAAUCAAUCUCCCAUUUAUUCUGGGAAUGUACUCUGGCGGACUGGGGAUGGAAUUUUCUGGGAAAAUGGUGGAAUAUUUCAGUCCUUACUCAUCGUAGUGGGCUGUUCUCCCUUUCCUCCCUAUUUAAUAUGUUCUCCCAGGCGAGUACGAAAGAAAUCUGGAAAAUCGUAGUGGCCGCAGUUCUAUGGUCAAUUUGGUUAGCUCGUAAUGAACUAACGUUUGCUCAUCAGAAAAUUCGACAAAAGUGCUUUGUCAAUAUUAUCGCUAUCCGAAUUAAUAAAUGGGGUUGUGCCUCGGGGCUUAUGGAUUUCGGAGCAGAUCCACUCUGGAAAGUUAAUCCUCAAGGUGCAAUUGCUAUAAGACACCAUCAAAUUCUCAAUUCUUACUGGAAAUUUAAGAGAGAAAAUUUCGACUAUGUGGCUGCAGUUGAUGGUGCAUGGGGCAUGGUGGAUGAAUAUAAUUAUAAUGGUGGUAUUGGGGGAUAUGUAAAGGAUGCGUCGGGCAAACUUAUCCUGAUGUUUUCAGGACCGGUAAAAUCGUCUAGUGCUCUCGAGUCAGAGGUUGAAGCCAUCAUUUUCGUCAUAAAUUGGAUGCUUUCUUUGAAGAUGUUAUUCAGAAGAUUGGUCAUUUGUUCUGAUUCUUCUGUAGCGGUCAAUUCUCUUAAUGAAGGAAUUUCUAUUAAAUUCCCUGUAAGAGCAUUGAAUUUUUUUCAUCAGGGACUUAUCAACUCUUCAAUUUUCGUCCAAUUUGUCCCCAGAUAUCUUAAUGAGCAGGCUGAUGAAUUAGCAAAAAAAGGUCUUCACAGAUUUUCAAUGUUUCAAAAGGUUAUGGGGCCUAUCAGACCUAAUGGAGACCUCUCUGUUCCCUCUCCUGCAGCUUGUAGCACACUAGGAGAUCUUUAAAAAAUCUUUUCAGUGGACCGUUGCUUAUCUUUUGCUUUGGAAAUUUCAUUUCCUCUGCACUAUUUCAGUAAGCUUCUGGUUUUGGGUUUUAUAUGAUGGAUACAAGGCUUUUCUGUGGGGUUUUUCUCUUACCAGGAUUGUUUUUGAAUUCUCGAUCUCUGUUGUUAAUCAUCACACCUAGGAUCAGAUUAUGGAGAUCCUGUGUAAUAUUUUCUCAAAAUCUUUCAGUGGAUUGUACAUUAUAUUGCCUCUGGAAGUCCGGUUCCCUCUGUUUUUUAGUCUGGUUAAAGCUCUUAUCUGGAGGACUAUAAGCUUACAUAGUUUUAGGGCUUAUACCUGAGUGGAGGCUGUCACAGUUGAUUGAUUUUACUACCUAUCAUCCUCAGCUGUAAUCUUUCUCAGCUACAUUUCUAUAGGGGCUGGGCUCCUUUUUAUACCUCCCUUUAUAUUCUGUUCCCCUCAGCUCACUUCAUUCAUCCUCUAUUUUCUCUCUAGUUUCUUCUUCGCUAUGGAAUACUUUUGGGAGGUGGCUGAUAAGGAUUACAUCAAAAUUAAUGUUCACUGUGUAGUUUCAGAGGUGCCUUUGCCUAAUGGCAACACCUUGGCUGUUGCAGCAAUCAUCAGAGAUGAUAACGGAGACAUGCUGUGGGGAGUCCUGGGUGUCCUUCCAGGGCUUAAUGAGGAGCAAGCCAUUCUAGCGGCUGUCCAAGCUGCUUGCAUUCAUGCCAAUGAAAAAGAGCUUCACAAGAUUCACAUUGAAACUGACAAUGAACGUGUGUACGACACCCUUCGUUUGCAGGAACAAAUCCUCCUAGAGGAAGAGCAGCUCGAUGCCUACAGGGCUUUUAACACCCUCCAUGCAAACAACUACAAGGUGGGUACUACAAAGAAGAGCAUCUUACAUGUUCCUCUUCACAUGAACUCCUCAGCUGAGUACAUGGCUCGUUAUGCUCUUGAGAAUCUUAAGGUGUUUGUCGAAACCUCGAAGCCGUUCGGAAAUCUGGACUUCUUUCUCCAGAGGGAUAUGGGAAAGGUCCUUCCUCACCCUAUCUAUGAGUUCUUGGGAGAUGGUGAGGUGAUAGAUGGUCCUCCUCCUCCUCCUGUCAAGAAACGGAGGCUCUCUCCUUUUCAGAAUCUCCACUUUGGUCACUCUCUGGACUUCUCUGGCUCGUCUGUUUUUGACGGCUUCUCUCCCUUCCAGGGCCUGGAGAGAUGUGUACGUCUCGCUAAGAAACAAGAGGGGUGGGAAAGGGAGAAGCAGCGUAAAGGAAAAGGAAAACUGCUCGAGGACUACAGUUUCAACAAAAAUGGUCUUCUCUCCAAGGAGGCCAUCAGUUUGCUAAAUGACCAAAAACUGAGUGCGCUAGACAGCAUCUUCAGGGGCUCCGAGGUAGACAUGGAAUCUGUUGUGUUCGGAGGGGUGGCUGUGAAAGAAAUUCUGCACAAAGCACUCACUGGGUCUCUAGCUGACUUGCUCCCCUUGUGGAGCAUCUCUAGGACAGAAUUGGAACAAGCUUCAGGGAUUGUAGACUUUAUAGCCGUCUACAAUGUGAUGAAAGUAAUGGGAUUUGGAAAUCAGGAGGCUGAGUUCCGCUACAAUGCUUCCCAACCGUCCACCUCUUCUCAGCACUUUGAUUAGCACUACUUAGCGAUCUAGUUCAGUCAUUCAAAGUCUCAGGCGCUCUUUCAUAGUAGGGUUUUAUGUAAGGUUUUAAUGUUUCCAGUCUGGAUCUCUCUUUUGCUUGUAUGUCAUGGUAGGUUGAUGGAUCAUGGUUUCAUUCCAUGCCCAUCCUUUUGGAUCCCCUGUAAGAAUCUCUGAGACUUUAUUGAAAUAUAAUUUGCUUUUCAAAAAAAAAACGCAUGCAAUUUGCCAAAAUAUGUUUUCUCUUUAUCGAUUACAUCCCCACCAUAACCUCCUGUUAUUUGUCUAAUUUGCUCCUACUUUCUUUUGGUGCUUCUUCAACAUGCGUUAAUUAACAUAUUUAUUUAUUGAAUUUUGUAGCAUUUUGCUCUAUUUGAACGUGAAAUAGCCGGAUAAAUGGUCGAUUAACUUGGAUAAAGAUCAGGGCCGGCUCUAGAGAUUUGAGUGCUCUAGACGAAUUUUGAAAAUGAUGCUCCUAAUUUUCAAGAUCGUGAAGGAAAGAUUUACAUACAUUCAAAUCAAUAUACAAUGACAUAAUAAAAACAUUGUUUUAAGAUUAACAACACAUUCAAUUCAAAUAUGUAAAUAUAUAGAUACAUAAAUUUAUCGUUAUAUACUACAUAUGCAUAGAUUUUUUGGUGCCCCUGGGAUAGUGAUGCCCUAGGCGUUCGUCUUGGUCGCCUUAUCCAAAGGCCGGCCCUGAUAAAGAUUAUGUAAAUUUUGUGGAAGAUAGAAUUGAAUAUUGACUGUUUCGAUUCAAUUAAAUUGAACGGAAUAAAAAUAACUGAAAUAAUCAAAAAUUAUAUUUUAAUUUUUUUACUAAUUAACCCGAAUCAAAGUAAUAUAUAAAAUCAACCGAAUCACAAUGAUCCGGUUAGUUAAGUUUGGUUAUAAGAAAACCAAUAUUUUUUAAAAAUAAAACUAAUAUUAAAAAAGUUGAAAUAUAUCUAAAUAUUAUAAAUUCAUAUUUAAUAGUGUCUGCAUAUUAUAAUUAUAAUGGAAGUAUUGAACUUGCAAUACGCUGGUCUGCAACAAAUUUGAUAAAUCACAAAGAUAUUUUUUUGGUGUCUUUGUGUUGUCAACAGAAUAACAAGAAUAAUUAAGAAGGGCGAAAGUGUGAAACAAUCGAUGGCAUCAAUACUGUCUGGCCACAGAUUAGAGAUUCCCACUUAUUUACUUAUUAUUUUUAAAAAUUGUAACCUUUUAAAUUACCAUAGUAAAUUUUUAAUCAUAUACUUUUGUUGAAAAAAUGAAAAAUUUAAAUUAAUAACUUUAAUUAUUCCUAAUUUUUAACUUAUUUUUAAUUUUGAAUUGAUUUAUUACACAAUAAAUACUUUUCAAAAUGAUGAAGGAUUUAAAACCCGGUUUUAAACCCAUGCAAAUAAUCUCUUAAUUGAAUUAUCCAAUUUAAAUCCGGAUAUAUAAAAUUUCUCAUCUUCCUGGUCCUGGCAAGUGACAGCCCAGUGUCAAGUUAUGCAAACCCUUGAAGGCCCAAUCCAGUUGUUUCAACAUCCAAAGAGACCCAAAUUCACAAGGGGGGCAAAUAAGUAAAUAUAAGACUUUCUUCAAUCUUUGAAGUUUGGUCUGCCCAGAAAUCUAGCGAACAGUGUCAUCAUUUUGUCACAAAACUUUUGUGCCUGUACAGGUUUGAGACAAAAAAAUUAACACAAAGAUACAUGUAAUAUACGUACAAAUAACAUAUUGAGAUGGCUGGAUACAAAGCUGAAGAUGAGUAUGAUUACUUGUUUAAGUUGGUUUUAAUAGGUGAUUCUGGUGUGGGUAAAUCAAAUCUACUGUCCAGGUUCACUAGGAAUGAGUUUAAUCUUGAAUCAAAAUCAACUAUUGGUGUUGAAUUUGCUACAAAGAGUCUUAAUGUUGAUGGGAAAGUCAUCAAAGCUCAAAUCUGGGAUACUGCUGGCCAGGAAAGGUAUAUUUUUUUGAAAGCUCAAAUCUUGAUUUUUGUGGUUUAUAUAUGCAGUUAUUGUUUUGUGUAUAAAUCUCUCUGCUAUUUGGGUUUUGUGAGAUUAUGGGAAAAGCUCAAAUCUUAAAUUUAUGAAUUUGUUGCUGUGGAUAUAUGUGGUUUCUUAUGUAUGUCUGUAUAUGGGUGCUAUGUUAAUUUUGUGAGAUUAUGAUUAGUGAUCAUUAAUUUUAUUACAAAAGUUUUUUUUCCCUGGAUCAAGGUUUUUUGUUUGUUUUUGUUUUUGGUUAAUUAAAUUGUUGAUACAGUUGACAGUUAGGUGUCUGUUGUGAAGAGGGUGGAUUUGAAUGGUAUAAGCAUAUGCUUCUUGUUUGUCACUGAGAUGGAAUAAUUUUUCAUUUGGAUUUAGACAUAGUGUAAAUGGUCAUACUUUAAAGUUUAAGCUUAAGUCAAAUAAUCUUUGAUUCUGAAAUGUAUAUAUGUAGUUAGCCUGAUUGUUUUAAGGGCUCUUUUUAUUAUGAUUUUUGAUCGUGCUAAUCACCCUUUGGAAGGUUCUGAUCCUGCAACAUAUUAAUGACAAAGAGAGUGAUAUUAAAGGAUAACGCAAAAUUAUCAGAUAAAAUUUUGUAACAUCACACUAACAAUCUAGUGAGAAAAGGUGAUAAGUUAUUAAUUAGAGUUGUUAUCACCUAUUGCUACUGCAGAUAGGUUUGCCUCAGUGGCAGAUAAAAAUAUGUGAAUUUUAAGUAUGAUGAAUUAUUACAGCGACUUUAAUUAUUAAAAAUUUAUGUUGUGUGAGUAUUUAGCAAUUAGAAUACCAGUUGCUUGAUGGUAAGAGAAGUGAAGAGGUCCUGGUGAUUUUUUUUCUCUUACUUCGCAUGAAAUGAUCAUUUUCGUUCGAGUUGUUUUUGAGUUUUGGGUAUUUUUCAUAAGUUGUAAUGCACUAUAAUUGCACUCUUCUUUAAAUUAACUUGGCACAUUGUAGUCAAAAUAUGUAACUCUUAUGAUUCGGCACGAGGGGUCCAUAAUUUAAUAAUUGAUGAAGGGGACCAGAGGUCCUUGGACACUUUAGUUUAGAAUUAUGUGUAGAGAGUUCUGACUUGUUAUCCAUAAUUUUGAUUUGCACAUAUGCUAUUUAAGUACUUGACAGUGCAUGUUACAAUAACAUAUUAUACAUGGGGACUUCGCACUUCGAUUUGACCUUAGAUGUUUUUUCCAGGUACCGUGCCAUUACCAGUGCUUAUUAUCGUGGAGCUGUUGGUGCUCUUCUUGUGUAUGAUGUCACUAGAAAUAUUACUUUUGACAAUAUUGAGAGGUGGUUGAAAGAGUUGAGAGGUCAUACAGACCCCAAUAUUGUAGUAAUGCUGAUUGGCAACAAAGCAGAUCUUCGGCACCUUGUUGCUGUUUCAACUGAGGAUGCAAAAGCUUUUGCGGAGAGGGAAUCUCUUUAUUUCAUGGAAACUUCUGCACUGGAGGCAACCAAUGUAGAAAAUGCUUUUCAGGAAGUUCUCUCACAGAUUUAUCACAUUGUCAGCAAGAAGGCAGUUGAAACUGGGGAUGAAGCAUCUGCUUCGUCCCUUCCAUCCAAAGGAGAGACGAUUAACGUCAAGGACGAUUCUUCAGCUCCCAAGAAAUUCAGUUGCUGCUCAACCUAGGUCCUGAUCCAAAACAUAUGAUGUAGCAGAAUUACAACUUUGUACAUUAUCUUUCAUUAUUUCGUAUCUGUGAGAAAUAUAGAAAUGAAUACGUUGUGUGAACCCUGUUUGUGUAUUUUUCUGGCAUUUUCGAUCUAACAAUAUGAGGAUGCACAUUCUCCCUUCUGACAAAAAAUCAAUAUAUCUUCUCUUUUGUUAUAAGUGGUGCAAAUAGGAAGAUUCUCUUGGUAAUCAUUUUUUUUUUAAUCUUCACAGGUUGCAGUGUGUUCUGUUCAAACAAAGGUUACACACACUUCUAAAAUUAUCAACUCCACUAUGUAUUAACCACAACAUUUACAUUCAAUUGUUGGCAACUUUAAACUACAACAGGAAAUAUUGAGAAUAAAAAUAAGAUGAAGUCAUCUUUUAAAGCAAAUAUACACUGUCAUGAACAGUUGUGGCAAGGUGUAUAAAAAUUGCAUUUCCUACUAUCCUUGGGCUGAAAAACUAGUGAACAUCCAGGCAGCUCUCCAAGAUCAGCAAACAAGGAGUCCUCAUCAUCUCUGGUGGAGAACAUCGGCUCUGUGCAUAUAGAUCUUUCAGGUACAGGAUUUUCAAGAAUGACGGAUGUUAUCUUAGACAAGUAACCGAAAUCAGCAACAAACUGUGCGAAUUCCACGUUGUCAGGUUCCAGAUCCGGCUGAUUAGCAAAGACGGCUUCUUCUUCUGGUGGGAACUUGACAUCUGAACUGGUGGUCUGGGAACGUUUGGCGGUUACGGGGCUGAGGUGGUUGUGAUCACAAGCGUAAGUAAUGACGAUGAAUGUGGGAUCUUUUAGACUUCUCUCAACUUGUUUUCUAGCUGGACAACCUUUUGAAGAACUGCAACGGUAAUAUCCCCUGUAACAUACAUAAUUACACAGACAUAAAAAAAUAAAAUGUCAGAACUAUCAUUAACAUUGCAUUUUGUUACUUCCUGACCAAUUACCACGAGUUGGAAAAUAGCAUAAGUAUCAAGUAUCAAGUCUACUUCAGUUUCAUAUUAGGUUAACAAGAAACUCGGAGCAGUAAAUUUAAUAUUUACAGAAAUUUAGGAAACACCGGUAGUAAAUAAUUAGAAGUGUGGAAAUGAAGAAUUAGCAAUAAUUUCUUUCUCUUUCCAUUCGGCAGAGGUAACAAAGCAACCAAACGAAUCUAGCAAAGCUGCCUAGGUUCACUCAAUUAUCAUUGUUAAGUUAAGCAUCCAUUUUUGAGAUCAAAAUUAAGGUAUACAUAUAAAAGAAAUUACUGAGCAUGUUGAAAUUCUGAAAUUAUAGAACAAAAUUUAGCUGAAAGGACUCACUGAUUAACUACACAUGUUAAUAUUUACAUGCGUAUGAGAAAAAAAGAUAGAGUACCUGGGAAAAGGCGAACCUUUGAUGGGCUUCUGUCCAUAUUUUCUCCAGGUCCAUGAAUCUGCCGGAGGAUAUACAUCCCCCUCCACCAUUGGCACUGUCACCACUCUCUUCCCUUCAACCUUCUUGCUAAAAAAAAGUUCGAAUACAAUUACGAAUAUUUUAUCAAACCAAACAUACCCGGUAUAUCUCGUAAAAAUAAUCAGACUACUUUUACAAACCUCUUUUUAGGCGACGGGGCCUCGUCAUCUAGGACAAGGGGCAUGAUUUCAGCUUCACAAGAGAUUUUGGACACAUCAUCAUCAUCAGCAAGUGAUUUGUUUUCAGAUAAAUGGUAGUCCAUGUCGCAUAUAAACGAUGGCCGGAGAAUACAAGGUAGGUGACGGAGAGAGUAGUUGAUAAAUGGACGUGGAAAGUGAAAGAUAUGUGGGAGGUUUGGUAAUAAAGCAGCAGCAACAGCAGCAGGAGGAGCAGGAAGAAUUAAAUAAUAUGACAGACUGCCAAAUCCGUAUUUUAAUGUUUAACGUACAAACAAUUAUUACACAAUUAUUACCUCUGCUAUUACAGCUACUGUACACAACCAUUCAACAACUAUCUGUAAGCUUAUUUGUUUCAAGUUGAAUUAUAUCUAAAAAGGUUGGUUAAGAAUUAAGAUGAUAAUAAUAGAGAAAAAGGGUUAACGUUGGUUUAAGAUGGAUGUUAAGGUGAGUGGUCUUGAGGAGGGCCGGAUCUCACGAAAACAAGCGCCUAUAGAUUAGUAAAAUGAGAGAGAUGUAGACUGAACGUUUUAACUAGUUGAAAUGACGUUUUACAUUUGUCUUGCUCCAGGCCGGCUGGAGUCUGUUGGGAUUUUGCGUAUAUGUAGUGUUCAAUUUCAAAUUAAAUUGUAAACGUAUACUAUCAAGUACACACUGAUAUGUCAAAUUCAUGAAGACCAAGCAGAAUAUUACGAACAUAUUAUUAUAUCAAAUAUAUUAUGUUUGUAAUAUAUUUAUAGUUCCGGAGUUUCCUGUAAAAAUAGUGAUCUUCAUCUAAUUUUUCCCGUGACACAAUAUCCAGAUUAUUAUUAUUAUGAAGCGCAGGGGGCUCAUGAAAAUGUGAAAAUGCCCAUGUGGUGGCUAUAUGCAUAGAACACAUGUUUGUCACUGGACUAGAAUUUAAAGAUGUACCCAACUGCCCAUUACUGCAAUUUGUAUUCUUUUAAUCAUUGGACUCCUUGUUGCGUACCAAAAGGGAUGCAGUAACUUGUACACCUAGAAUACAAACCGCGGUUCUGCAAUGUUUUGGAGGCCAGGAGAAACAACAGUGAAGAAAUACUAAUUUUGAUAUAUUUUAGUUUUAAUCAAAAUUUUGUUAUGAUUUCAUUCUUUGACACACAAUUUUGUGUGUACAAUUUAGACAAUUUUCUAUGUUUACAAAAAUUCACUUUAUAAUAUAUAAAUUAUUUUUCUGCAUACAGAAAAAACAUAAUUAUAAGCACAACAACUAUUAUGCAUGUUUUUUCCCCAUAUUAGGGAUGGAUUAAAUUGUUCUCCCGCUCUCACGCUACAAACUGAUCUUAAGCCGAAUCACUCAUUCCCAUACACCUCUCUGCAUGUUUGUAGAGUUAAAAAGACAACUUUAAUACAACUCCGCUGCAUAACAUAUAUAUCUGGCUUUUAACAGAUCAACCACUUACAAGAUUCCCAUAAUAUGCGCAUAAAAUUAAGGGGCCAUCAUGCAAAUUUCAACCAAUGCCAAGCUCUAUAAAGUUUUGCCUCAUUUGUGUUCUAUCUUCAUAUUUAUUUACAUACCUCGGCAUUUCUUUUUAUUGUGCAAGAGUCAACAGAUAUGGUACUCAUGGCAGCUGAACAAGUUGUGGAGCUUUAUGAUGACUAUUGGUUUGGUUUUGGUAUCUUUAACAGCAAACAACACAUUACUGACACCAUCCCAGUCGAUCUGCAGUACCGGGAACUAGGUCUCUCUCCAUCAGUUCAAACUCGAUCCCAGAGUCUUCACUGUCUUUGCUCUGAUACAAGUUUCAGUCUCAGUUCUCAGUCUCCACCAGAAUCUUUUAUAGUUGUAACGAAACUAGAAACUGUACUCUCUGGCAAAGAAGGCCUAGAUGUUGAAAUACCUAUAAGAAGACAAAAGGUGGAGAAGAAGCAGAGGAGACACAAGAAAGGCAGUAGGAGCUUGACAGAGCUUGAAGUUGAGGAGCUAAAAGGGUUUGUGGACUUGGGGUUUGUGUUUAGUGAAGAAGAUAAAGAUUCAAGCCUGAUUUCAAUAAUUCCAGGACUAAAAAGAUACAGAAAAGAAGGCGAGGAGGACAAAGUAUCAAGACCUUAUCUUUCUGAAGCAUGGGAUGUUCUGGAUCAAACAAAGCUAACUAACCAGCUUUUAGAUUGGAGACUUCGGAUUCCGAAUAGAGAAAUUGACAUGAAAGAACUUCUUAGAGUGUGGGCUCAAAGUGUGGCAUCUACUGUGAAAUGAUCACUCUUUUGUGACAGUUUCUUCUGAAUACUCGAACCCUAAAGCAAUGUAGCAUUAUCUAAUACCUAAUUGAAGCCUUAAGACAUCAUAGUAGCAUUAUUAUCAAGCAAUGUUUUUUUAUUUAGUAACACUGCACCUAUUAUGAAUCUUAAUUAGUGGUGCUUGUUCAGUGACUGAUUUACAUAUAUUACAUAUUGUACAGGAAAUUUUAAUCUAUGUCCUCUAGUCUUUUACUAACACUAUACAUAUUUGCAAAGAUAAAAAAAAGUUGAAGUGAAGGGUUACAGCAUUAUUUUUCCUUGUUGGAGAUUGCCUCUGGAAGUUUGAAGGUAGAGGUUUUAUCCACACCCCUUCUCGAAUAUUCUCUCCACCUUCUAGCUGCUGCUGCAGCUCUUUUUGCUCUCUCUUUGAUUUCUUCCUCUGCAAAAACCAUGUACAAGUUCAGAGAUGGGGCAGUAAGACUAAUGGAUUGCUAUAACAUAUAGCCCACAACUGUUACGCUGUUAUACUGGAAAAUUUCAUAGCAUCUUUUUAUUAAUUCUUUCUUACCUGUACUUUCAUACUUUUUCCCAUUUCCCCAAAGGUUGUCCCAGUAUGAUUCACUUUUAUCAGAUCCUUUUUGCUUUGCCAUCCUUGUUCUAGCUUGCGCCUAAAGAGAAGUCAGAAUUUGCAUCCAUCAAAAACUUUUACAGUAGAUAUCACAAACAGGGAUUGAGAUAAUAGAGAAGUCCAUGUAUAUGAAAAUUGCAUAUGCUUUUGGUAAGAUAUUACAUGAGAAAUUUGACAAAAGAGUAAAUAAAUAUAUCAUGAAAACUAAUUUAAGUCACCUAUACAAAACCGAAAGAAGCCCCCAAGUAAUAACAGAAUACUGUGGGGAGGUUAAAGCUGGCGGAGUUCUUACCAAGACUUUGUUUUGCCUCUUUUCCCAACGUGAGCUUGCCUGUCAUGGUAAGUGUAUGAUUACUUUAAAUUUAAGACCUAUAAUAUCAUUAAAGAACAACAGCAUUUACAGUAAGAUAAGAUUUGAUGUCAGUUAUCGGAGGCCCAGUUUUGUCUUUAAUAAGAAACAUAUGCAAUUUAAUAAGCAGUACAUUCAACACCCGGGGAUGACGUAUGUCAAGACCUCUACAGUCUUAAAAAAUGAACUUUCACAUACAUUUGUAUUUUACUCGUACUGGCAGUACCAAUAUAUCUGUUGCAAUAUACGUUCUUUGUAAUUUGUACUGAUUGUUUGAGGGCAGAACAUAUUCACAAUUCAGAAACCACAACCACUACAUUGUUAAAAGUAUAACAUAUUACAUAUUACAACUACUUCGACUACAAUUACCCCAAAAUCCGCCAACUUAUCGAUAAAAUGGGAGUAAUUUGAUAAUCAGACUUUUGUAGUCAGUCAUCCCUCAGUUCAGAAUUAGUCCUCAACAUCUAACAACCUAUACAAUGACACUGCAUUAAGGCCCCCUGACAUAUUAACUCAUUUACAUUAAAACUGAUAAUAUUACCUAUAAAUAAUAUAUAAGAAAAAAAAAGAGCUUGCAUAUUAAGGCUCAAUAAUGCUCGAAUUGACUGAACAAGGUCUUACCAUCCUGAAAACAUCUGCCGAGGAUCCCAUUCCUGCUAGCAUCAAUGCUACCUGUCGUGAUCAACAAAGAAAUGGAAUAAACAACCUUUGCUAAAAAAUUUUAAGCAAAUAUACAAAAUAACAGAGGUUAUGAAUAGACGGCAUGUCUAAAUAUCUUGUUAAAAUAUCACUAAAAAAAGUUGCACUUCUGUCAUGAUAAUGGAAGAUGACUUUCAAAUAAUCAUUAAGAUUAUAUGCUACUCAUGUCUAUUAUUCAAUUAUGAACUGUUUAUACCACAGGCCUAACCCAUCCAAAAUCUAAAUGCUGGCUCCAUCACUGGAUCGACCAAAUGUUGCAUUUUGUGCAAGGACAAAAGUACUACUUUUAAACCCAAUACUUUCCGUAAACUAUAUGAUCUAAUCCUGGUUCAACAUAGUUUACUUGCUUGGAAGUGGCCAACUAUUACAAAGCUGAAGAAAUCUAAUUGCAUAAGAACGGAUGCAGGUUUGUUAUUUUCAAGAUGAAACAUAAAAUCGCUUAAUAAAAGACUUACAUUUACUCUUUCAACCCUUCGCAUUUCAUCUUCUAGCAAAGAUAGUUGAGCGGCAGAAGUCCAAUGGAUACAAUCAACUGGGCUGAAUAAGAAGCAUCACAUAUUAAUUGAUCUAAAUCUCUAAAAUGUGUAAUAUAUGAACUUUAAAGUAAUCCAAAAUAUUGUGGAUGUUAAUAACUCAUACAUAGAUGUUUGUUGUUUAUGGAACUGAUGUCUUAUAACCAUGUGUUUAACACUUUUCAAAGGCAGUAAAAGUUAAUCUUCACAAACACUAACAAAUUACUCCUGUUUUAGAACAUGAAGAAAAAUGACAGAAACCAUCUCGGGAGAACACAGAAUGAUGCAAUCUACAGAGAGUUGAUACAGUUCUAAAUUCAAUACGUUUGCUAAUUUCGUGGAAUUGGCCAAAAUAUAAUAUACAAACAAUUUUUUCCGAAACCAAUGGGAUGUAAAUCUCAGUUCACGCAUGCUUACCAACUUUCAAUAGCUUGUUCAACCGAGUCUGGCGUUCCGGACUGAUUACAUGCUCUGGCUCUCCCAAAAUCUUCCUCUAUGCUAAAUACAUCAGGGCAAACAUUGGCACAGUUUUUGCAGCCUGUAAAGAAGAAUUUGGUUCUGUAACUUGAAAUUUGUUAUUUUUAUUAUUUUUUGAUGAGUUAUAUAUAUUUUGUAUAGGGGAGGGGGAGUUAGGAAUUGUACCCAUGAAUCAUGAUCAUGGUCAUGAAAGAGGGCAGCCGGCCACAAUAUGGCAUAUAAAUGUACUUAAACCAUAGUUUAUGAUAUUAUAAUCUCAGUAUCAUGUUUAACAGUUAAAAGAACACUUAUUUAAACAAAAAUUUACUAAAAUAUGCAUUGAUGUGUAUGCCUAUUUUAGGAAAGUGAAGCUUGUUAUAUGGUAACAUUCCCUAGAUUUUAUCAUCAAGAGUAUUAUUUGAUGAUGAAACAGUAACUUUAGAGUUUUUCAUAUUUUUUAGGCCUUUUACACAUUUGGUCCUCAUCUUUAGGGCCUCAACACCUAGCAUCAAAAUGUUUACAAAUACACAUAUAGCACCAACAUAUAUAUUUUACGUGGAACAAAUAAGUCAUUCUAGUCAAAUUAUAAGAACCAUUACCACACCUGACACAAAGUUAUAAAGUGAAAUUUCUUGAUUAGUUGAUUUCUGUUAUGCUACUCUUUAGUUUUUUGUUUUGUUAAAGAUAUUUAUUAAUUUCCUUAUCGUGUAAUAGUGUUUUAUACAUUGUCAUAGAUGUAUUUUUCACCAAUGUUUCAGUGCUAAAUAUAAUUUUGUAAAGGUUAUGGGUCCUAAAUGUUCAAACACUCUAAACAAGAGUCAAAAGUCCUUUUUUCAAAACCCAAUUUACACCCCUCGUCAUCAGGAAUUGCUCUGUAAUGUAAAAUGUCAACAAUCGCCAUUCGCCAAAAAAAAAAACGUAUUUUUUCUAGCUUUAUUUUAAGAAAAUUUUUGUUGCUAGAUGUCCAGAGACGACAACCACAAUGGUCAGAAUGCGUCCAAACCAUAAGUUCACAUAUAUCAUACUAAUAUCUUUAGAAAUCUCGUACUAAGCAGUAACUAUUACAACAAAUACAAGAUUGUCAAAACCACAUCAAACAUCGGCAAAGGACCGUGUAGUGCACAUACCUAUGCAGCUGAAUUCAUCAACAAACACAUGAUCCUUUGGAUAGGAAUCAUCUAAAAAUGGAUUGGUUGCAGUCAAAGCAUACCCGUGGAUUUCAUCAUAAACCAUUCUUUGCACAGGAUCACUUAAAACCUACAACAGUAGUCCAACUAUAUUAUAUUAAAUGUAACAAAAAAUAUAAAAUUAAUGCUCAUAUGUCAAGCACAGUAUUUUAAAGUGAAACCUAGAAACUAACCGUAUAAACUUCAUUGAUAAACAUGCAGAAAUUCGUGUUUUCUGCAUCAUUGCCACUUAAGUCCGGAUGGCAAGAUUUCAUGCAGUUAUAAUAAGCUUUCUUGAUCUGCUCUGGUGUGGCAUCUGGAAGCUGGUCACAUAUAGAUAAGACAAUUAAGUGUAUUAGCAUUAUGUACAUACUACGUAGCAUCAACAAUAUCUGCAGAAAGGCAACAUGCUAGUCAAAGAAAUAUGUAAACUGAGAAUUAGGGAAAAUACUACUAUACAACGAAACUUGGCCUAUUCCAAUUUAGUGAGUGGAUACUUUAGAAAGACCAAGUUCUUAAGACAGUCUUUCACUGACAAGAAACUCAGAAAUAAUGUGAAAGUUUGGCCAUCAUUCUGAGAUGGUUCUUGCUUUACUCAGUAGUAAGUCCGCAGAAAGGUACACUUUCACCUUUUUACAUCCAUUAAUAGUUAUCUAAAUGAUUCCAAAUUAAUAAUAAGAACUGGCACAACUACCUGCUAAACAUUGCAGCUUAAUCUUAAUCCAAAGCCCAUUUCCUCUUAAGUUUGAUAUGCUUAACACGAAGCAAAACAAUGAAGUUUUUAAGCACUUGCUAUAUAAAUAGUGGAGCUAGAAGUAAGUUCCUCUUUAAGAACUGGCUUUCACCUAUAAAUCCACUCCCUGAGCAAGCAUAACGCUCCUCUACUCAAACUCUCAAAAGAUCUAUAUUUAAGUAUCGAAAAACCUCCUAGACUACGGCACAUGUUCUUGUGUGAUAAAACACUAAUACAAGAUAUACAUACAAAGACAUAAUAUGGUUGCAAGAACUAUAAUCAGCGGACAAUUUGCAAAUCGAGCACUUGGAUCAGUAGCAAAACCAAAAUUUUGAAGUAAAAUUAGGUAUAAAAUCAACAAAUCCAAGUAAAUAGAAAUAAAAGCAUUAUUUUUUAUUGAGGAUUUGCCAGUAGCCUAACAUACUUGAUAAUCUAGUACAUGUAAAAAUAUGUGAAAUCAUCAAGACUUAAGAACAUGGAGUUGAAGUAAAAUUACCAAACCCAAGACAGCAUAAUAAUCAUCAGCAAAAGCGCUGGAAGAUCCAGAAUCCUGUGUAGCAACCUUAAUUCUGCCAAAUUUCCUCCUCUGACCAAUCAUAGGGUUCCAAGUGGCACCAGAAGAAUUCUUGGAAAGCGUGCUCCAUCUACCCCUUGAACUCAAACCCUGUAACUGGUUCUGAACUUUGAGAGCAUCUGUACAAGCUGGUGACAAUAACUUAGCCAUUACAGAAUGAAUGUAUUAUUUAUGUACAGUUUGGUAUAUGCUUCUUGAUUCUCUAAAGAGCAGAGUAAUAAGAAAGUCUAGGAUGAUAUUUUCUUUAAUUUAGGAAUUUAAGAGAAGGAUAUAAAUUGUAGAAUUAUUUGCUGACAUGGCAAAUUGGUGGCCAGUAAUAUACAUAGAGUGUGAGUUUGAGGUUUGUUUGUGAAAUUGAUGAGGACAUGGCACGUGUCUUCAUGUGCAAAUUUCUUUUUCCACACUUCUGGUGCAAUCAAUUGUCACGCAACCACUUGCUUAUCGCUAAUGCAACACAAGAAGUUGCUGCGACAAUUUGACACUGUACUGUCAUAAUGUCAUUAGUGGACUAAUAUCUGGAAACUUAGAAACUAAAUUUCAAUAAUAUUAAAUAAAUAAAUAUUUAAUGACGCUUUUAUUGGGUGUUGGUUGAAAUGGAUUUUUUUUUUUUAAAGCUUUUCGGUUAGUUUCGAAAAAUCACCCUCUAAUAAAUCGCACAUAGGAUAUUGAUGUAUCCACAAGUGACAUAACAUGUCUUCCAGAUAACCUGCAGAAGCUUUUUCAAUUUAGGUCCAAAAUAUAUAGUUCACAAAGAUACUUGACCAGUUGACCAUCAUAGGAUGCGUCCUCAGCCAUAUUGUUGAAUUUAUGGUUUUGUGACAAGAUGAUUUUGCAGGAAAGAAACACAACUUAGAAUUAUAGCAAAAACAGUUGUAAAGAUACAUCGGAAGUUCGAAGAAAACAUAACUGUCACUAUUCAAAAUAUGAGAUGAAAUAUGCAUUGCUAGUCUAAAAAGCACAGAACUACGCUGCAAACUCCCAAUCUUGUCUCACACUCAGUUUCCAAUAUUCUGCGACUUGUUAAGGAUCACACCCUCAUACUUGACCUGGAACCACUUCAUUGCAUCCUCUUUUGUUACUCUGUGCUGGAUUCCAACACGAGAUUUGCAUCUUCGGCGACGUCCCACACGGUAACCAGGGCGUUCAAGGACGACAUAGAAAUCCAUACCAUAAAUCCCAGUAGAAGGAUCAUACCUAAAGAACACAGAUGAUUCGCGGAAAACAAUCAGAAUGAGUUCAAAACUUAAUUAAAGGUGUUUACUUUAAGAAUCAAAAGUUAAACAAGUUCAGUGGAGAAUACUGGUUCCAAAUUCAGCAUGAUAAAACAUAAUCCAUCACAAUACUAUAUUUGAGUCGGCAAGACACAUAUAAGGAACACUGUAAUUCCUCAAGUAACUUAACUUAUAUAAUAAACUUCAAUAAUUGACUGGCAGGUACUUGUUAGAUUUCAAGGAACAAAGGUCUUACAUAAUGAUUAGACACAUCGAGCAAGCAAAGUUCGUUGCUUAAAAUGAAAUCACAGAUUAAUGCCAUGGUUGUCUUGUCAAUAUGUCGAGUCAAUGAUCCUUUGGCUAGGCGACUAGUCGAUAAAUGUUAUAUUAUAUAUAAUAUUAAUAUAAUUAUUAAUUCCAUAGACACUGUAUAUAACAUAACCAUAUAAUAUAUAGUAGUAUGUUAUAUAAUUUUAAAUUUUAAAAUUAUGACUUGUCCAAAUUUUUAGUUCACAUUUUCAGGGAUUUUAAGAAUGAACUACGAAAUAGGAAGAUGAAGCAGAUGUCCUAAUUCAAUUAAACAAAGAAUUUGUCAACUAAAGCUGAAUAAAUGAUAAUAUGAUUAUUUCAUA